UGGAUCAUCCGGAGGGUCGUAUUGGAUAAUCCAGUCCUGCAGGAGAGAUUGAAUACAGACAAUUACAGGAAGGUUUUGGAAAAACUUACCACAGCCGGUAUAUCAAGGCCACGAGCAGCAACAUCGGUACAAAGAAGUAUACCCUUCUCCGCAUUGCAGAACUCAAAGUACGUAUUAGUGCGCUUUUGUUGCUUUUGUUUGCCAUGAAUAUCAAGGCAUGGUAUAUCGAUGAAGUUUAGAAGUUCCCCGUGGAAUUUCACUGAAUUGCAAGAGGAAAAGAACACCAUAACCUGCAAAAUAAAUGGCUAAGUGAUGUGUUCCGUUUAGUCCAAAGAAUACCUUUUUCUUGAGGUUCUUUUUCAAGAACGUAAACAGAAGAAGGAACCGCUUGUCGGUCUUCACAACACAGUAGCCCUGUUCCAAGCCUUCUACUGUAGCCUGUAAAGAGUGACCUUUCAGGACUUCUUUAACAACAUGAGUUUAAUACCUUGCUUCUCUCAUCGUCCACUCCGAUGUAUAUAGGAGCUUUCUUGAAAGAAAGUUUGGCCAAGUCUUCCACCUAAGCUUCCAAGAAAUACAGAUUAGAAUCUUCUUAGCUGUUAUGGCUACUUACUUUUGUCGUUUGAGUGGCAGAAAAAAGGACAGUUUGUCGCUCCUGCAUGAAAUUCUUGUGACACCCAAAGAUACAGUACCCAUGCUUACUUUCGGUAGGAGCUUGAUGAUCUGUUUCAUAUCCUCCUCAAAGCCAAUUUCCAAGAUGCGAUCUGCCUCGUCAAUCACAAGGCACUGACAGAAAAGUAAGAGAGAAUACCACAUAGUAAUAAAAAAAAAAACUAACCUGCAAAUUCUUGAACAGAAAACCCUUCGUGUUUUGAAGAUGAUCCAGAAGCCUUCCUGGAGUAGAAACGAGUAGAUUCACUCCUUUCUUCAACGCUUCUGCCUCUACGUUUCGUUUCACUCCUCCCAUAACAAUCCCGUGGGUUUGGCUAUGGUGUUUCAUCAACUUCCUCGCAACUCCAUAUAUCUAUCCAGAAAAAAAGCUUUAGAAACCCGUAAGAAAGCUGGAAGAAUCCUUACUUGCAUCGCCAGCUCUCUCGUAGGAGAUAUGAUCAAAACGCCAGUUCCAUUCCGUGGCAUGAAACGAGCAUGGUAGAGUAGCUCCACAGCCGGAACCAGAAAAGCAAGCGUUUUGCCGGAGCCAGUCCUUGCGGCUCCGAGAACAUCUCGUCCCUUGAGCAGCUCUGGGAUUGAUCUCGAUUGAAUCUACAAAAGAAAAAGCUUUGUCGCUAAGGAAGCAAGAAAAAGAAGAGAAAAAAGACCUCAGUCAUGUUCGUGAACCCGAUCUCUGCAAUCGCAUUCUUCGUAGGCUCCGACAGUGGCAGCGCUCCAAAGUUCAUGCUGCUCAUCAUACCAUUCACAAGCACAGUGCCUUCCACCACCUCCGGAUCCUUCGCAACCUCCUCCGGCUCCAAAUCCCUCUCAUCCUCCUCAACCUCCUCUCCAAUUCCCUCCCCAUUUUCCUUCUCAAUUCCAGGCUCUAGAAUCCCGCCCUGCUCCUCCUGUCCCUUCUUCCUCUUCCUCACCCUCUUCCUCGACGCAUUCUCCCGCGUACCUGCAAUCUUCGUCUCGAUCCUCUUGAACGCUCCCUUCCUCGUCUUGAGCACCUUGGGCGCGCCCGCCAUCGCCAAAAAGCCCUAGGGCGAAAAACCCCAGACAAGAUCCCAGCCGUGGAUCCCCGCCAGCGAUCCAACGCCCCACAACAGCCGCAAGGGUAAGGAGGCGGCGAGGCGGAGCCGAUAAGAGCGCUGACGUCAGCUCGCAAUCGCGCCGCGUGUAUUUUCCCACUGGUUGGGAACUACGCGGCGCCGCGACCCUUUGGCUUCGUGCAGGGCCACCGGGCAGCCAACGUGUCCCGCUGCCCGAUGCCCCCGCUGCCCGCGGCAGUACUGCCCGUACGGACAGCGGUCCAUUUAAUAAAUCAGUGUGUGGUCGGUGGCGCAACUCAACGUAUUCAGUACACAAGACCCUCCAAUGUGACACGCUGACGCUACACAUUCACGUUUCUUCCUCCGGGGUGGUAAAAAUCGGCCAUGAUAGACAACAGCGGCACUGCAUGCAACACGUGGCCUCGCAAAAGGUGGUGGAGCGUCUCUCUCUCUCUCUCUUUUCUAGGUUUAAUACGCGCGAGUGCAACGUGUGUGAUUUCUUUCCACCCCCGAUACCAAACCGCCAACCUCACAACUCUCCCUUCAUACAUUUCUAUCAAGCACUGUAAUUGAUCAACUGAUGGAUCAAUUCUAAGCUUGGUGGUGGGGCGUUAACGCCUCGCAAUUACGAGUGGCCAAGAUUCCAUUCCCACGAGUUCCACCGUUUCCCGGAAGGGCUUUUGGGCAUAGCAAAGAGGCAAAUAAAAUAAUACCCCCUUACAAAGUAAAAGGAAAAAAAGGAGGGAGGGGGCCACAAAAUGCACAAGCACUGCACCGGAAUAUUUUCUAGAUGCACGACCCCUCCACGAUUCCAGGGAAUUGGGCCAGGGCUGAAAUUUCCCCUCGUACGACACGUGGGUACGGGCACCGGGCAGCGGGCAGCCCGGGCAGGGCGGGCAGCGGGCAGCACCCCCUCUCCCAUUUGAAGGGCCAAAGAGAAAGACGAGGAAGAAGAAGCUGUGUGCGCUGUGAGAGCUAUCCCUCUCCUCGGCUAUGGUGGCUUGUCUUUCUCUCCCUUGUUUGUGAGCUCUCCCCCGUCGCUUCCUCUGUUUUGUUGCGAGCGCCGCGACGAUCGAUAGAGGAUCCUCCGCAAAUAUCCCAUUUGGGCUCUCGAUCGAUCCAAUCCCCCCUCUUUUCCAUGCAAGGAAUGCGAAGCGGGAGUGUCUAGUUUCUUGGUAGAUCGAUCGCCGCCGCCACCGCCACCGCUGAUUGCGUGGAAUGCACGCCAUCUGAGAGAAUCGAAGCUGCAAGAGGAGCCAAGAGGAGGAGAAGGAGCUUGGAGAGGAGGAAAUUCUUUCGCUCACAAGGUAUGGAUCGGUUGAUUAGCUCCAAAGAUCGAGCAUCGGGAGCUCCGGCUCGUCGAUUUGUUUGGUUGAUAAGAAAGAAUAUAUGAGGAUCCAUUGGCCUGAUCCUUUGUGUGGUUUUUUUGGUUGUUUUUGUUCUUGGGCAGUGAUUCGAGGAGGAGACGAUGAGCUGCAAUGGAUGCCGAGUUCUUCGCAAAGGAUGUAGCGAUAGCUGCAUUCUCCGGCCUUGCUUGCAGUGGAUCGAAGGCCCCGAGGCGCAAGGCCACGCUACUGUCUUCGUCGCGAAGUUUUUCGGCCGCGCGGGUCUCAUGAACUUCAUUAGCGCUGUUCCAGAGAAUCAAAGGCCAGGUAAGCUUGGCCGCCACCAUGGUUUCCAGUUUCUAGCUUUGAAUCACCGUUCUCCUUGGGUCCUUGGUUUCUAGCUCUCUUUGGUUUCUAGCCUUGGUCGUAGUUUCUAGCUUGAAUCACAGCUGCUUGGUUUCUAGCUCUGAUCUUCUCCUUGGUUUCUAGCUUUCUCAUCUCGUGUUCUUCUUUCGUGCAGCUCUUUUCCAGUCUUUGCUGUACGAGGCUUGCGGAAGAACCGUGAAUCCGGUGUUUGGAGCGGUGGGAUUGCUCUGGUCUGGAAGCUGGCACGUUUGUCAAGCGGCGGUGGAGACGGUCCUCAAAGGUGGGUCUCUCCAGGCCCUCAAGCAGCCGGGAUCAAGCUCCAUGAGCGGCGCCGCCACCACCGCCGCCGCCGCUAACGCUGGUGCCACCACCCUCUUCCACCGCCACCACCACCACCAAACUCCAGGAACCCGGUCGCCAACCUCGGUCCUGGUAGACGCUAUGGAAUCACACAAGCCACUCCAGCAGCCAGGAACUGGAAGAUACGUGGAGAGAUCGCAGAGACCACUGGAAGUUGGCAUCGAUCAUCGCGAGCAGCAAAGUGGAGUGAAGCGGGAGUUUGAGAUCGUGGCUCCAGUCCCUCGCAGGAUCCGUCCGAGGCAGCAGCAGCUACAGGAGGAUCGUCAUCCAGGUUUGAGCGUUGAUGAUCACCAGGUCUUGGACCUGGAUCUCACACUGGGCUCUACUCCAAAGCAUCAACACGAGGAAGAGCAGCGAGCUCUGGCGAUGGUGGAGACCAAGAGGGUGCACAGUCCCUGCCAGUCGAUCACGUCCGAGGGAUCCGUCACCAGCGUCGACACCGCCGACCUCAAGAUCUCUCUCAGGCACGAGCGAGCGGCGCCGGCGAGAUCAUUGUCAACUUAGAUGCGAUGCGAGAUCUUUCAUCCAUCAUCGUCUAACUUCUCUCCUGCCAGCCUCUCACGCUCGAGCGAGCUACUAUCGAUCGGAGUUCCCAGAGUUUGGAGUUUGUUCCACGAAAGUUGGAAGAACGUCACGGCAUUACUAAUCUUUGCGAGGUUUUCUAUACUCUCUCUCUCUCUCUCUCUCUCUCUCUCUCUCAAAUUUUCAAGGAAUAAAAGAGUACAUCUCUUGAGUGGAGAUUUCGAUAGCUCUAUCUUUGUGAACUUAAAGAUUGAAACAUUGAGAGCUAGAAUUUUUUUUCUCUUUCUUUUGCCAGGAUCUUAUCUUCUCGCGCUAGUCACCGUCGCACUGCUGUGUCUUAUCCCUUUGGAAACCUAGCGAUAGUUGGACGGAUUUCUUCGCCUUUUCUACUUUUUUUUUUUUUUUUUUCUUUUGUUUUGGCUCCAUUUGAGCUAUGGAUGAGAACAGCGCAGCUCAAGUUGCAAUGUUCCUGUCACGUUUAACAAGACAUCUUCCCGUACGAUCUGGAAAGAAAAGAAGUGACAAACAACUUUUAAUGGCAGAUCUUGGAGCGAGUUCUCUCUUGCAGUAUCGCCAGGUGCCACAACAGCACUGGAUCAUCGAUCUGGAGUUCCUCCAGCUUCCAGAUCGCGUCCUCGAUCACGAAAUCAAGAUCCGCAGAUUUGAGAGCGUAUUCUCUCUUUCAGCUUCACCAGCGUUUCCCGCGCGCCGCAGCAGUGGAUCAUCCCGCUCACUCGCCACGCGAUCUGGAGCGCCUCCAGCUUCCGGACCGCGUCCUCGACCUCAAAAUCGCACGGCAGAUCCACCUCGUCAAUGAGUACGGCCUCGCAUUUCUCUUGAGCUCCUACGUACGGUAAAAUCCAUAAGAUCACGCCCAAACCGUGUUCUUGGAGCUCCUUACCUCUGAUUUAGCGGCUCCAUUUUUCAUGAGCAAUCCAAAGUAGGCCACGAUUGCCUCGUUCACCUGGAAAGUUAUGAAUUUCCAUCUAAGAACAAGGCUUAGAUUUGAUAGAAACACAAUACCUCUUGCUGGAGAGCACUCUCAACCAGGCAAAGAAGUGUUGCUGGCCCCGUAUCACGCUGUUUUUCAUAGAUUUCCUUGGAGAUUAGCUUCCCAUACUCAAGAACAUUGGCCUGGAAACUAGAAAACCAAGAAAACUUUGUCAACUUUGCGACAACCUUUGGAGUAUACUUACGUGUAGUAGACCUUGAAGGAAUAGCUAAAAAUCAAGGUGAGGAUUGCGAGGCCAAGCUUAAUCCUGGAUCGCCCAAAUGCUUGCCAGAAACCAACCUAGUAAGUUAGUUUUUUUUAUCAUUGUUUUGCUCAAAAGAAUUUGGGCAAUCUUUGCUUACACCCGCAGCUGCAGCAGAGAUUGCGAGCUGAAACCACUCGGAUUUUCCCAGGCGAGGCGUAGUUUUCUCAGGCUGGAAAAGGGAAAUUUGUCAAUGCAAAUGAUUAUAAAACUUGAAAUGAUUUCUCGUGAUUUUUACCAUAACUAUUUCCAAGUCGGCUAUUGGGAUUUCUCUAAACUGUCUAAUAUAAAUCCCGUACUUGUACUCCUGCUGUUUCAAUCUAAAAUAUUGAAAUAUUACAAUACUGAGAAAAAUUGAAAUUAAAAAGUUCUAUACCUGUAUAAAACCACGACCUGGCUAAAUGUUAGUUCUUGUAGCUGUACUCGCUGGAACAAAUUCCCUAUCCUGUGGGUAAGAUCCAUGAUCAGCUUAAAACAAAAAGAACUAAUAUACCCACUUAAUAUCCUCGACGUGGAUUCUCUGUACGGUGCGUAUUCUGUCAUUUCCUUCUUCAAUGUCCGCUGGCCCCGAUUCCAUUGGCGAGCUUUUGCUUCGUUUUGAUUUCCAACUGAUUUAAGUUUAAUGAUAAGGUUAAAAUGUAGAAAAAUCUUACACAGUUCUCCAAAAGCUCCACCAUAACACCUUAAGCUUGGGCAUAAAGUAGAAUCCUUUCCUCGUGUCGAUCCCAACACCCCGGUGGUAGACCGAAAACUGCGAUAUUAUUAGCAUGGAUUAAAUGGUGGUUAAUAGUGACAAAACUUACUAAGUUCUCAAACAAGUUGCUUCCUCCAGGAGCAUUUUGUAGCAGCUGGUUGUCUAGCUAUGAUAGUAUGAUAGAAGUCAUUGAUCAAGCUAGAUAGUGUACAAACCCACAGCACUGACCUUGGAUUUUUUGUAGCCGAUUUUAAGCUGGAGGAGGUACUUGCUGUGCUUGGCUUCUUUCCACUCCACCUCAGUUACCUGCUGGAAAUUACAUUUCUCCAAAACCUGUGCAUGAGAAUCGAAAAAAAAAAAAAAAACCAUUGGUUUGGUCGUCAAAAGCACGAUAUUUCUUUUGGUUUGUGUAUCGAUUUUACGCUGUGGAAGCUCCCGAGGAACUUCUUCUCUAAAUCCCUCGCGCCAGGCUCCGAAUCCUUGAGCUUGUUGGUUGCGUCCGUGGGAUGGAAGUGUGUCUUGUGAAGUUCGUAUCAAUAACUCAGACCCUUGUAAACCAAUUCCUGAUUAUAGAUCUGGCAAGCUCACCACUAGAUCCUUCAAAGCUUCUUCAGUCAUCUUCGUGAUCUCGACUUUCAUCAGGGAGCACAGAUCUUUGAAAUCCUGCGCCUCUUCGACUCGAUCUGUUUGUGGAGAUCAUGUCACACAAAACUAUAAUUACAAAUGGAUUGAUACCAGCAAGCUUUUGCUCCAAGGUGGUGGUGUCGAUCAUAAUCGCGGGUCCUCGCCGGACUCGCACCAAUCUGGAAGACAUUAUAAGAUAGUAUUCGAGAUUUCGAGAGAAAACACAAUGUAGCAAAACUUGUACCAUCCAGUACAAAGAAUCGCAGCUUUUGCUAUCUACAAGCAAAAAUUUCAGUAGAUUCCCUCAGAGCUUACGUUUUGCUGAGAAUAUUCCAGUGCUUUAUAAUUAAGCAAAGAUUCGAAUCGAUUCUCGUUAGAAACUUGGUUUUUUGUACGGAUGUCUACGUCCAUUUGAGACCAGCACGGCCCAAGUUACAACGAAGAAAGCGAGUUCUCUCUUGCAAAAUCGCCAGCUCUCCUGCGCGCUGCUCCGAUCAUCCCGUUCGCGCGCAGAUCCUCCAGCGUCCGGAUCGCGUCCACCUCGCUAAUGAGUACGGCCUUCCACUGUCUCUUUUGCUCCUACGUACGGUAAAUCCAAAGAUCACACGUGUUCUUGGAACUCCUUACCUCGGGUUUAGAGGCUACAUUUGCUUGAGCAAUCCAAUCAAUCGCAUAAUUUCCUCAGUCCUGACAAGGCUCCACUGCCUGGAGAACCCUUUCGUGAUAUUCCGUGUGCGGCACAUUGAAGGGAUUCCCAGAUCUACCUUUCUUUUCCAUUUGCCAACCUCGCUCUUGUUGCUGCUCUCCCUUUUCUUGCGCUUGCAGCUGCCUUGCUGAAUUCUGCUAGGCCGCUCUUGCCUUCGCGUUCUUGCCCCUCCCUUUGCUGCGCGUUUUAGACCUAGCAUUGGCCUGGAAACUAGGAAACCAACAACAAGUAUGCUUGCAUGUAGUAAACCUUGAAGCCAUAGCUAAGAAACACUGCAAAGAAUUGAGAGGCCAGGCUUGACACUGGACCGACCAAAUGCUUCUUAGCUAGAGACAAAUACUAGAAGUUUUAUUCUUUGUUGCUUCAAAAUAAAUUUGGGCAGUCGUUGCUUAGGCCCAUUUGCGCACUCUCCAUUGAGAGCUCCAAUUCGAACAGAUGCCAUUUGCAAACUUGGAACACACUCUGCGGGUGAGAGAAGAGAUAUGGAGAUCGGAGCACUGAAGCCGGCCUCUCUCCCGUGAUCCUGCCUCUGGCCGAUGGUUGGCCCACCAAACCAGGUCAUGGUCAGCUGGCCGGUAUUAGAAAAUUCACAAAUAAACUAUACACAAUGAUUUUAUUAAUAAUUAUAUAGUUAAUUAAUGUAGUUUUAAUGUUAACUAUAAAUGAUUAGCAAGGGUAAAUUUAGUGUUAAAAAUUGAUGCCAUACUAAUCAUUAUGCUCUAUAAUGUUUAAUUUGCAUUUGUUCUUCUUUUCCCACUGAAUAACAAAAGAAAAACUCUUGGUGAGAUUUUAUUUUUUUCACAACAAGGAAGCAUGUUACCUAUUCCCAAUUGAAGCAAUUAUCUCAAGCAAUGCCACAUCAAUGCCUUCUUCCCUCGAAAGAUGCAAUCCAACAAAAAAAGAAAUAAUCAAACUAUGCUUACUCUUUCUUGGAGUGGAUGGGAUAGAUGCUGUCUGGAUUUAGGGACUUCCAACACUGCCACUGGCAAUAUUGGGAUCUCCUCCUCCUCUGCUGACCUAUGGCAAGACAUAGCUUCCCACCCCUUCCUCUUCAUUCAAUUCGGGGCACUAGGACAUGGCUACUUGCUGAUUACCCAGAUAAGCACUAGGGUUUGCCGGUGUGCCCGUCACCAAGGCCUGCCACUGCGUGGAUUGUUUCACUUUCUCGCCACUGCUGGGAUAUGACACAUACAGAUUGCUGCCACAACAUGAUUGAGCUUGAUUGCAGCUGGGAGGCUGCUGCUGCUGCUGAGUCACCAUAACUUCUUUCUUCCUCUCGCAUCUCUUCUCGCAUAAAAAGCACCACUUCAAAUGAAAUCGAUCAAUUGCAAUGCCAAGGGCAAAACUAUCCAAGUUUGUCAAUCUCUCCUCCUUUGGGUCAAAUCUCUAACAAAAUUUCCUCUUUGCAGGAGAGGAAAGAAGCGUUGCAACAGAGACUAGGUGAAUCGCUGUGUUGGGACUUGAGCAUUAUGUUUGGGAAGUGGCUGUUUGAUCCGGCUGAGCUAGAGAACCCUUUCAUCCACAUCAGGCAAGGUGAAAAGGAUUUCAUACACAUGCAUAAAUUAGAGCUGCUGGAUAGAGAUAUCCUGAAUUAAGCAGCUGAUUAACACAAAGUUAAUCACAGCUGCCCUACAGGCUAGUUAACAUGUUAUAUGUGACAUGUGCACAACAUCACCCCAAAUAGUUCGGUUCGCCACUUAUUCACUAAGUUAAGAUGUGGUUAAAGAAAUAAUCCUUUUGACAGUUACCCCAUCGGAUGGCUACCAUUGGCUGGAUCCGGUGGCCCAGAAAGUUCAGCAACUCAAACGUUAUGUUUAACUAAUUACACUAUAUUUUGUAGAAAAAAUUAUAUUUAUAAAUACAUAUAUUAUAUAUGUAAUUAUUCUAUAAUAUUUCUUAAUCUAGCAGCUGUGAUUUUAUGCUCUUAAACUUUCUCUAAUUUGACUAUAAUAAAGCUUUAAGUUUUUAGGAUCAAAGAACUUUAAUUUAAAGUUUCACUUUAAAUUUUUAUAUAUAAAGAAAAUUUAAUAGCUUGCUAUUGAUUUUAUAAAAAUUAUAAAAGAAGAUUUUAAACUUAUAACAAAGAAGUGUAUCUCGAACAAAUGUGGAUGUAGAACAAACACUAAGUAGCUUAAAAGUGACUUUAGAAAAAUCAUACUGUAACCCACUAAUGUUUCAUUUCACAGCUAUGACUUCUUUCAUUGUCAACUCUGCCAAGUUAGUUUCCAAAGCCUUGCCCUUCUCUAUUGCCUUCUUGACAACCAACACCUUAUGCACUUUUAUGUAUGCUGACAUGAUUUGUUAUACAGGAUAGCCAAAAUAACAAUCCCAGUAGUUGAAUCUAACUCCUGCCACUCAGUGCCUUGGGUACUUUGGUGCUUGAUAUCAACCCGAGGUGUGUGGCUGCCCAGAAGUGAAAUAAUUUUGAAAAUUUUAUAAAUUUUUUGGUAAAAUUCCUCUCAAUAAAGUAUAUUUUAUAAAACUUCCCAUUGAAGUCUACAUCUAGAAAUUGCAAACCAAGGUGAAAACUAUUUACAUCUUCAAAAUAUAACAUCAGUACCCCACUAGAAUAUACUGCACGAGGAUCGUCAUUGCAGUGGAUUUUCAAAACUUAUAAUGUACUAGUUUUUAAUAUAUAAAUGACCUCCCUUGUAUAAAUGCUAUGGUGUGCAAUUUAUAAAAGAGUGAGUGUUACUAUAGUAGAUUUCACUCACAAUAUAGUGUCCAUGUGGCAGUAUUCUAUUGGUUCGGCAUUAAAUAUCAUUUGGAUGCCUCAUGGAUACCCCAUGAAUGCUGGCAAGUUUGACCCCAUGACAUAGGGAUUCAUUAGGUCAAAGGGUUUAGGAGACACUUCCUUGCUUUAGCGCUUUGCUUUAGUACUCUGUUAUUCGGCAUGUUUCUUGGUAACAAAUGUGGAAAGUAACUUGGUUUGCUAGUGAUUGGUUUCAAAUGUUUUUAUGGGCAGUGUUAGAAGUGGCUUUGAUUUACUACUCAAUUGCUCUCUAUGGACUUUCAAGUUCCUACAAUAAGUAUAAUUCCCUCCCUAAUUUAUUUCAAAUUUGUGUCACUGAAACUUUUUCUUCUAGGUUUAGAUGAGGUGGAUGGCCUUCCAUCCAAUUUUAGUGAUUUGGAUUGUGGUUCUGGUGUGGAUAGUGACAAUGAUGCUCUCCUAGAGGUUUGCUUAGUUUCUAACCUCCUAGAUUCAUGAUUUACACGUUUUUAGGCUUCUAUAAUUUUUUGCGAUUGAGGGGAUUCGGUAGUCCAGCCGCAUUUGGCACUUGGAUGCACCUGAAGAUCCUCGAGACUAAGACUAUUCCUUACCUUGCAUGGUAUCUUAGAAUUUUUAAGCCAACACUGUAUAAAUACAUGCAACUUGUCGAUCCAAAUUGGAGAAGUGUAUAUUACAAAGUACCACUUGAAGAGGUACUUCAUCACGUUUGAACUAACAAUGCCACGAAUCGAAGUAGCACAAACUAGGGAAUUAUUAAUUCCCAAUUUAGCUAUUGAAUUGGAAGAUACUAGUUUAGCCGAUGCCAAAUUUGUGAGGCCUUAGCCACUCACAAUCCAACUAGGUUAGAACAGAGGCACAUGACAAGGAUUUAAUGACGGAUUUACAUGAAUGAGGAGGCUUAUACACUUUGCUAUAUAGAUUGUGAGUAUUCUUUCAUUUUUGCUUUUUUGUCAGCACAUGUGAUAACAUGUUUAUUGUAGCAUGUUGCAAGCUUGUAAGCUAUACAUGCCAUUAUUUGCAGGGCAACUCAUUAUAUUGUAACUUGCGAGCUAGCUACCUCCAAAGAAUCCUAUGCAAUAUUCAACACAUAUGCACAAGCUAUUUGUUGAUUUAGAAAGCCUAAGCGCAUCCGGAGCGACAAUGCUCCAAAGCACAAUGAGGUUGAGAGGGACAUGGUCUGCUGUUGGGGUCCUGCAACUAGGAGCUUCAUACAUAGGACAUUAACACAUAACCAAAUACUCAUAGCGUUAGAGUUUUUCCAAAUAAGGACUAAAUCAAAUUUGUUUUGCAUCGCAUAGAGCAUUUGUGGAGAGAGCUCUUUGAGUGUGUAGUGUGGUUUUAUAAGCACCUUUUUGAGUCCAUGGAAGAUAUAAGAAUUCUCAAUGUAUCUAAUCCAUGGCACAACCAGAGUCUACGUUGUGUCUUUGCUCUAUACCUCAAGAAGGAUAUUUCAUACUGGGUUGCAACCUGGAACCUCCAUGAGGUCCGUCCGUAUCAAUGUGGUGAUUACUUCAGACCAUCUCAUGUUCCUGCAAACUUAUUUCAACCGAUGGAAUAAGAGCUUAGGUAAAAAUUUUGAUAAUGUUACAGCAUUCUUUAUAAAUUGUGCUUUUGUAGGAUUAUGCUAGCUAUUGAUAGAAAAGAUAUUGAAAACCUUUUUGGACCAUUUCUCUUUAAUGUUGAAGGUGCAACUCUGUCAAAGGUAAUUUUUAGAGCAAGAAUAGAACAAUUUCUUUAAAUCUAUUUCAUUGUGCUUAGUUAUCUUACAGACUCUUGGCACUAUUUGAAACUAGGCAUUUUUUAUGGAUUGGGAGGGACUCAACUUGGACAAGCAAUAUCUACUUCAUUUGGAUCUAACAAUGGAGUGUGUAAUGGCUUAAGUUGCAGGUGUAGAUUUACCACUUUAUAUCGAGAGUGCCUUGCUUAUAGCAACAUCAGUGAAGUGAUGAACUUUGGAAAAGUUAUACUUGGCCAUACUUGGAGAAAAUUGAGUGUUCUUUAGUGUACAUUUCAAAUUUAAAUUCAAUUCUUGAUUUUAGGGUUUCCACAUUCGGGACUAAGGUUUACACCAAGUCCCACCUAUAUUAAUUGUGCCUUGGAUACGGGGUGAUUUCAUUUUAUGACAUGAUUUUUUGUUGAUGGUUCGUUCAUUCUUCCAAUCGAUUUAUGUCAUCUAACCGUAGGCAAAGCUUCUAGUGCACACUCCCCCAAUUGCAGAACUACCACCCAAGCAAGAGUGCCAUAGCUGCGAUGGUGGGUAGCCUCUCCUCGAUCAUGUUUGCAUAAUUAAUCCCUUGUGGUUUCUAAGCUCAAAGCAAGAAUGUUGCACACCUCAACAGCAGUAGACACUAUGCGGGAAACACCUCAUAAGCACGCAACCAAGCACUCGAUGUUCCACAAUCAGUACAGCCAACAGUCCCACAAGACACACACCAGCCACUUGAUUUUCCAAGCUCUUCAACAAGGACAUCAACUCCAAUAGCAUCCCAUCCACAACUCCUGAUUGUUCCAAUGAUGGUAAGGCCCAUGCCGAGUUUGCAAAAUUUUGCCUCAACUCUAUCCAACCUUGCUACUAACCUCCUUAAACAUUAUGGGGAGCUAUAGCAAACAAGGCUAAUGGCAACUGGGCAAUAGUAAUAUACUUAUACAAUGUUAUAGAGCAUCUUACUGACAAACAUUGGCUAAGUUAUCAAAAGUAAGCUCGAGCACUUGAGGAGAAGGAUGUUUAUAAACGUAAGUAUUAUUUUUAAGUUCCCUCCUCACAAAUAUAUGUUGUGGUCUUUGCAAUUGUAGCUACUACGAAUACCUUGACUGCAAAUAAUGAUCCCUUGGUGAUAGAGCUAUUUCUCUCGAGGCCAACCAUACAGGAAACUAAACCAAAACAAGAAUAAUGAAGAAGAAGACUUUGUGGAUGAAAAGGACAUUCUUCCAUUACCGAAAGAAACAUUCCCCACACAAGACAACAUGGACAUCACCAAAGUCGAAGAACAAGGUGAUGGUGGGGAUAAACCACACCAAGGAUCUCCGGAGACAUCCUUGUCACUAGAGAUAAAUGGCUCAAGGCCAUGUGGCUAGUAAUAAGCAUUAACAUAAAUGAAUAUUUCUUUCAUUUUUUAAUUUCUGAGUGUAGAUAGGCCAAUGGUAGUGUAUGACAGUGACAACAGAAGCCUUGAAGACCAUGGUGUGCUUCCACCCCCUUUUCCAGAGGGAAGGGGCUUCACUCCAUUUACUUUUAUGGAGUUGCUUGACAACUUUUUUAUAGUAAAGUAAGAUAAUUGAAAAUUGAGCUAUUUGAAAUUGAACUAACGUUUGCAUAUAGAUUGUUGAAGCGUCAACAACAAUACAUUGAUGCCACCAAUGCAUUUAAUAAAGCUAUUUAGUUAACCACUCAGGAUAAUGUCAACUUUAUUAUGCUGCAGCAUGAAGAGGUUUUUGCCUUACAAGAUGCCAUCACAGCCUUUGAGGUGAGGGACAAGGGGAUGCUGAAGUUCUCUCACAAGUGUAGUGGCUAAAACACAAACUUCUUGAUUGCUUUGGUGUUGAGAGCAUAAGUGAUGAGAAGAUGCUAAAUGUUGUUGUUAAACACCCUAAGUUCUAUUGGGCUGGUGGUGAAAUAUUUCUUUGGCACGUGCUUUUUAGCCAAGCCAUGCCUCAUUGGCAGGAUUGGGAGAGUGUUCUCCUUUAGCUUUGCCUUUCAAAAACACAGUACGAGAGUGUGUUUUGUAACAACACAAUCCAAUAGCUCUUUGUUGAAGGAAGUAUCAAUAUGCCUCUUUCAAUUGUUGAGUCCACAAUAGCAUGGUUCAUUAAGAAGUGGUACAUAUAUGUAUUUCUUAACAUUUAGUACCAUUUUAUUGUUUUGUGCAGGGACCUAUGUCGGAAUUGGGUGGCUACAGAACAAUUGAGAGAAUUAUUUGACACUAUUGAAACACUGUAUUGUAAGUUCUCCCAUUUUUGCAUCAAGAGGGCCAUGCUUCAGCCAUGCUUAUACACAUUUGAGGCCAUCUCACAUUCUAGUAAGCAAUGGAUUGCCUAUGAAUUGGAGUUCCCUCACUUGUCCUUCCAAAUUGCACCAAACAAUGAAUUCAGUUGUUUCCAAUUCACCUUCAAUACUAACCUACACACAUUGAAUUACAAAGUGGUCUAUGUGUCUGAGAUUGGAGGAGCUUUGGUGUGGGAGGAAGCCACAAUAGAUGUAGAUGGGCCACAUGCAAAAGCCAUUAAGGAAGCUAUUUGCCAAAUUCCAAGAUUAGUAAGUCUAAUUUUCACUUGGCUUACUACAAACGCAUGGAUUAUUUGUGCUUAGGGAAUGAACUACGUAUUGGCAUCCCAAGAUGCUAGUGCAUUCUAGGAUGUUGCAACAAGAAAAGUGGGAUGUGGUAAGUUAAGUUUUAAGCACAAGUUUUAUAUGCUCCUCAUUUCUAUAUGCACAGGCUGUUUUUGUGGGCUGGUUGCUAUUCCAAGCAUUUAAAUGUAAUACAUAGAUAUCUCACGAGUGUACAAUUGCAACAUUGGCAAUUGCAGCUAGAGAGGUUCUAGAUGAGAAUGACUGAUGACUUGCCUAAGGAGGACUAUAUGAGAUGGACCUCAAGGCAUGCGUGCUGCAUAUCUAGAAUGCACUCAACCAAUUGCAAGGUGCAUCAAACCUAAAGAAGUCAUUAACUACCUGAUCUUUGAUCAGGACUUUGGAGAGAACUUCCGUAGCUAGAUUGUGGACAUCAUUCAAGGUAAUUAUUUACUUUCACAAAAAAUUAAAACUCUUGUAUGUUUGAACAUUUUAUAGAUGUGAGCCUGAAAGAGUUAUCCAAGUUCCACCACUUUGUAGUUGAUUCUCCAGAGUUCUGACUGAGAGAGCCUAUUUGGAUCCAAGUUGAGAGACAAGGUACAUCAUCUACUCGAUUUCCUAGGCUCUCCACAUGCACACGAGAAGUUUUCUUCCUUUUAACAUACCCAUCAAUGGAAUGGACCAAACACAAGAUCCACCAGACACUCCAAAAUCCAAAGGGCUUAUAUGGAUUGGGCUAAUGUUGUGGAAGUACCAUAUCCACAAUAAAAUAGAUAAUUGUCUUGAAAUAUGUUUCACACUUUGAAAGAGACUCUUUCCAGUUCAUUGGUGAAAUUAAAGGUAAGAAUAUUCAAAAUAUUCCAUAAAUGCACUUGCAACCCUUAGUACCCUUUUGGCUUAUACUUGCCUCACCAAGGGUAACUUCCAAAACAACUCCCAAUUUAGGAUUUGGGUCAAAACUAUCAAGCUUGGGUGCUAUAUGAUGCCUAUCCUCAGUUAAGGAACUCUUAACUUAUUUUAUAAUAGAACCAAAAUCACCCUUUGAGUUUGUGAACUCGUCCUUGCUUGCAUCUUAAGCAAUAACAUAUCUCUCAUUGUUGAUUUCUUCAAUAGGACCUUUCCCCUCGGUGAUUGGCACAACAUUAGAAGUAGUUUUGGGCUGCCUUGUCAGAAGGAUUGUCGAGCCUUGAGAAGAGGAGGCAUCAUAUAGAAUCCUUAGUCCUAUCCCCUGUUGGAUCCAUUGUUGUGCCUCAAAGAAGUUAGAAUCCUCUUCAAUUUGCCAUGCUAGGAGGAAACCUAGAAACCUCAAACAUUGCAAAAGGGUUGGAGCAUAUAGGAAACUGUCACAAAUUUACUCUUAUCAAAGUGAGCAUGAGCUUCCAAUCCCUGAAAACUCUAGUUUUUCAGCCGUAGCACAACAUACAUUGGAUAGUUUUGCCCCAUGCUUGAAAACCCUUUUUACAAAUUUUAAAAUUUGAAACGGUUAUAAUUGGAAAAUGUUGAAAGUGUCAAUUAUUAUUGCUCUUCUCACCUGAAUGUUACUGCAUGUAAUUGCAACUUCCAUAUUCUCAAAUCUCUUUUAACAAGCUCCUCUUGAGAAAACUCUAGGUUCAAUUUGAAACAAUUAUAAUUGGAAAAUGUUGAAAGUGUCUAUUGUUAUCCUGAAUGUUACUACAUACAAUUGUAACUUCCACAUUCUCAAAUCUCCUUCAGCAUGCUCCUCUUGAGAAAACUCCAAGUCCAAACAUCAACACUAUGCACCUUUGUGUAGUAUAUAAUUGAAGUAUGAGCCCCACCAAUUCAUCAAAUUAGUUAGACUUCAACUUACUUUUGAAUCAUAUGCAAAUUUUCUAAGCAUCAUGGUACAAAACUAAAGUGUUAAGAGAGCUACACUAGAAAUUAAUGGCAACGAAAGAUAAACUCAAUGGGAUGCAUUAGAGAUAUGACUCCAGACAAUAUAUAUCUAUGGCUUUGCAAUGGAGCUUGAUAGAGUUCACUUACACUUGCUAUAAACACUAUGUUAAAAGAGGUGUGCCAAAAAAGGAUAAUUCAAUUCUUUUGCCAUGAGCGCCAAGAGCAAGAUGUGAGAACAUAACGCUCUAGAUAAGGUAAUAUAGUAUGCAAUUUGGUCGAUUGUCCAUUUGGUUUGCAACAUUAACAACUUAUACAUGGGAUGAAUGGAUCUAUGGGCCAAAAAACACAGAUAUAGAAUAUUUUACGAAUAUCCAAUCCUUAUGCGGGGCAUCAUGCCCAUAGCAAUGACCUAUGCUAUGUACUCAUAAUACACGUGGACCAAUAGCAAGCAUACAUGUGGUGUGAGUGAAAUCCACCAUUGUAAAAUCCACCCUUUAACAAAUUGCACACCAUAAACGCACCCCUCUCUAAUCAAACUGCAUCAAUGGCAUCCCUAUGAGCUUUUGCUGCUCUCUCCGUGCUCCUUGUUGAAAUGGUGGCAGUGUCAUGGUGGAAGCUCAGGGGUCGUGUGCAAACAGGCCCUGUUGUGGUGGCAGAGGUGUCUGCAACUCCGGCCUGCGCUGCAACCAGUUUGGCUUCUGUGCAGUGUCAAACGAUUACUGUAGCGUGGGCUGCCGGUACAGUAGCUGCUUCUGAAUUGCAGUGCAACUGUAAAAGGACACCCCUUGCAACAUGAAAGUUGCAAAUAAUAGCUCUCUUCUAUAAUUCAUGUAGCGUGACCAAAAGUUUGUUUUCCAGGUUGUCAUGAAGUAGAAUCCUUUCCUCGUGUUACUGUCAUAUUAGCACAGAUUAAGUGUUAAGUGGUGAUUCUAAUUAAGUUUUCAACAAGUUGCUUCCUCCAGGAGAUCGACUGGCCUUGGAUUUGUUAUAGCUGAUUUUAAGCCGGAGGAGAUUGAGGAAGCGGACUGGAAGGAUGCAUGGAAGCGUGUCUUAUGAAGUUCCUAUCAAUAACCCUUGUGAUCCAUUAUAAUUGAUCACACCACUUAGAUCCUUCAAAAUUUCUUCAUAUCUUGUACUAGAGCACACUUUUAUGAAAUCUUGCGCCUCGAGUCAAUCUGCUCGUAGAAAGUGUACAAACUCACAAGAUCGAAAGCUACUACCUUGGAUUUGUUGUAGCCGAUAUUAAGGAGAUACUUGCUGUGCUUGGCCUCACUCCACUCCUCCUUGGCUAGCUGCUGGAAAUUGCAUCUCUCCAAAACCUGUGAGCGAGAAUCUCAAUCAAUCAUAUAACAAACUCACCACUAGAUCCUUCAAAGUUUCUUCAUUUGUAUUGUUCAUCACCAAGCACACCUCUAUGCAAUCUCGCCGCUCCUAGACUCGAUCUGUUUGGGGAGAUCAUGUCACAUGAAACUGCAACCGAUUGCGGAUGGUAUUCGAGAAUUCGAGAGAGAUUCCUGUCACGUUUAGCAAGAGUUAUUUACGUACAAUCUAAGAACUGACAAAGGACUUAAUGGCAGAUUUUGGAGCGAGUUCUCUCUUGCAACAUCUCCAGCGUCUCCUGCGCGCUGCUCGGGCAGUGGAUCAUCCCAUUCGCACGCCACGCGAUCUGGAGCUCCUCCAACUUCCGGACCGCGUCCUCGAUCUCGAAAUCGCAGGGCAGAUCCACCUCGCUAAUGAGUACUGCCUCGCAUUGUCUCUUGAGCUCCUACGUACGGUAAAUCCAAAGAUCACGCUCGCCCAAAACGUGUUCUUGGAGCUCCUUACCUCGGGUUUAGAGGCUGCAUUGUGCUUGAGCAAUCCAAAGAAGGCCACGACUGCCUCGUUCACCUGGAAAGUUAUGGAUUUCUAUGUAAGAACUCAUGUUCUAAGCAAUAGAAUCUUAUAGAAACACCAUACCUCUUGCUGAAGAACACUGUCACACAGGCAAAGCAGUGUCGCUGGGCCAGUAUCACGUUGUUUCUCAUAGAUCUCCUUGGAGAUCAGCUUCCCAUACUCAAGAACGUUGUUCUGGAAACUAGAAAACCAAGAAAACAUCGUCAACUUUGCGAUGAACUUUAGACUAUACUUACGUGUAGUAAACCUUGAAGGAAUAGCUAAGAAUCACAGCAAGGAUUGAGAGGCCAAGCUUGACGCUGGAUCGACCAAAUGCUUCCCAGAGACCAACCUAGAUCUCAUUGUUUUGAUGUAAAGUAUUUGGGCAAUCUUUGCUUACACUGGCAGCCACCGCAGAGAUUGCAAGCUUAAACCACUCGAUUUUUCCCAAGUGAGGUGUGGUUUUUUCGGGCUGGCAAAGAAAGAUUUUGUCAAUGCAGAUGAUCAUAUAACUUGAAAUUUCUUGGAGCUCUUGUGAUUUCUUACCACAACUAUUUCCAAGUCGGCCAUUGGGAUAUCUUUGAAGUGUCUAACGUGAAUGCCAUAUGUGUACUCUUGCUUUCUCAAUCUAAAAUAUUUUUGAAUCUAAAUAUAAAUGUUUCAUAAAUUUUUACCUGUACACAACCACAACUUGGCUAAAUGUUGGUUCUUGUAGCUGCACUUUCUGGAAGAAAUUCCUUAUCCUGUUUAUAAUCCAUUAUUAGCUUAAGACAAAGCUAGAGAGCGUAGGAAUUGAAGACCCACUUAAUAUCCUCAAUGUGGAUUCUCUCAACGUACUGUAUUUUGUAUUCUCCUUCUUCAAUGUCCCCUGGCGCCAAUUCCAUUGGCGAGCUUUUGCUCCAUUUCGAUGUCCAACUGAUUCACCAAUGUAUCAUAAGUUUAAUUGGAACUUAAAAUAUCUUACAAUGAUUCCAGUAGAGUUCUCCACAAGCUCCACCAUAACACGCUAAGCUUUGGCAUAAAAUAGAAUCCUUUCGAGGUGUCGAUCCCAACACCCCGGUGGUAAAUCAAAAACUGCGAUAUUAUUAGCAUCGAUGAAGUAGUGGUUAAUAGUGACAAACUUACUAAGUUCUCAAACACGUUGUUUCCCCCAGGAGCAUUUUGUAGCAACUGGUUGUCUAGCUUUGAUAGUUUGAUAGAAAUAAUUGAUCAAACUAGAAAGAAAAAAACUCACAAGAUCACAUUUUUAGUACCUUGGAUUUGUUGUAACCGAUUUUAAACCGGAGGAGAUACUUGCUGUGCUUGGCCUCACUCCACUCCUUCUCGGUUAGCUGCUGGAAAUUGCAUCUCUCCAAAACCUGUCCAUAAAAUCGAUUAAAAACCCAAUCGAUUUGGUAGUUGGUGUGUGCAUAGAUCUUGAUCAUACGCUGUGGAAGCUCUCGAGGAACUUCUUCUCUAAAUCCCUCACACCAGGCUCCGAGUCCUUGAGCUUGUUGGUUGCGUCCGUGGGAUGGAAGCGUGUCUUGUGAAGUUCCUAUCAUGGUAACUCAGACCAAUUCAUGAUAAUGGAUCGCAAGCUCACCAAAAGAUCCCUUGAAGUUUUUUCAUUCAUCUUGGUGAUGUCGUCUCUCAUCACGGAGCACACAUCUAUGAAAAAUUGUGGCUCCUCGAGUCGAUCUGUUCGUGGAGAUCAUGAUCAUGUCACACAAACUAUAGCAAAACCGACUGAUACCAGCUAGUUUUUGCACCAAAGUGGUGGUGUCGAUCAUAAUCGCUGGUCCUCGCCGGACUCGCACCAAUCUAGAAGACAUUACACAAGAUAGAAAUCGUGAGUUCUCAAGUAAGUACAACCAGAUCUAUACUACAAGGAUCGGAGCUUUCGCUACUACAAGCAAAACUUUUCAGUAGAUUAAUUCCUACUUAAUCUCAAAGCUAGCUGAAUAUUCCAGUGCUAGUAUUAGAUUAGAAGUAAAGAUUCCAGUCGAUUCUCCCACAAACCGCGCUAAAACUGACGGCUCAGAUCCGCCAAGUUAAACAAAGAUUCCCGCGCUAAAUCCGACGGCUCAGAUCCAUAGAGCCUUUAACGCCCGCUAAAACCGAGGGCUCAGAUGGGCCAGAUCGAUGGCCAUCUAUCCAACGGCUGGGCGCUGCUUUUUCUAGAAUGUUCCUAAGAACCAAGCCGGCCGUUUAAAAGUUCUUGUGUAGGGCUAGGGAAGAAGAGAGAGAGAGCUUUAGCUAUGGCAAAGGAAGGUCCGGCUGUCGGCAUUGAUCUGGGAACGACGUAUUCUUGCGUCGGUGUGUGGCAGCAUGAUCGAGUGGAGAUCAUCGCGAAUGAUCAGGGUAACAGGACGACGCCAUCGUAUGUGGCCUUCACCGACACGGAGCGGCUCAUCGGCGAUGCCGCGAAGAACCAGGUCGCCAUGAAUCCCAUCAACACUGUCUUCGGUGAGUUCCUAGUAGAUCUAGCUCUCGAAAAUCGCGGCUCUAGGAUCUAGUUUCAUGUUUCCUUCGAAAUCUUAGAUCUAGGAUCUAGCUUGCAUCUAACUUGCCCGAGAUAGCUGAAAGUUGAGCUUUUUCUUCCAGAUGCCAAGCGUUUGAUCGGGCGGCGAUUCUCGGACUCUUCAGUCCAGAGCGACAUCAAGCUAUGGCCUUUCAAGGUUACUCCUGGCGCUGCCGAGAAGCCGAUGAUCACUGUCCACUACAAGGGCGAGGAGAAGACGUUCGCGGCCGAGGAGAUCUCUUCCAUGGUGCUGACCAAGAUGAAGGAGAUUGCCGAGGCCUUUUUGGGCGCCACUGUGAAGAACGCGGUCAUCACGGUGCCCGCCUACUUCAAUGACUCGCAGAGGCAGGCUACCAAGGACGCUGGUGUCAUCUCGGGCAUGAACAUCAUGCGGAUCAUCAACGAGCCCACCGCCGCGGCCAUCGCUUAUGGUCUAGACAAGAAGGCGACGAGCGCCGGUGAGAAGAACGUCCUCAUCUUCGAUCUGGGUGGUGGAACGUUCGACGUGUCGCUGCUAACGAUCGAGGAGGGGAUCUUCGAGGUGAAGGCCACGGCCGGAGAUACUCACUUGGGUGGCGAGGACUUCGACAACCGGAUGGUGAACCACUUCGUCCAGGAGUUCAAGCGCAAGUAUAAGAAAGAUAUCAGCGGCAAUCCCCGGGCACUGAGGAGGCUGAGGACUGCUUGCGAGCGCGCGAAGAGGACGCUCUCGUCCACUGCCCAGACGACGAUCGAGAUCGACUCUCUCUUCGACGGCAUCGACUUCAACACCACCAUCACCCGGGCCAGGUUCGAGGAGCUCAACAUGGAUUUGUUCCGCAAGUGCAUGGAGCCAGUGGAGAAAUGCCUGAGGGACGCGAAGAUGGACAAGAGCAGUAUCCACGACGUUGUGCUCGUUGGCGGCUCCACCCGGAUCCCGAAAGUCCAGCAGCUUCUCCAGGACUUUUUCAACGGCAAGGAGCUGUGCAAGAGCAUCAACCCCGACGAGGCAGUGGCGUAUGGAGCGGCCGUCCAGGCGGCGAUCCUCAGCGGCGAGGGCAACGAGAAGGUCCAAGACCUCCUUUUGCUGGACGUGACGCCGCUCUCGCUGGGGCUGGAGACCGCCGGAGGAGUGAUGACGGUGCUCAUCCCGCGGAACACCACCAUCCCGACGAAGAAGGAACAGGUGUUCUCGACGUACUCGGACAACCAGCCUGGAGUGUUGAUCCAGGUGUACGAGGGCGAGCGGACGAGGACCCGGGACAACAAUCUCCUUGGCAAGUUCGAGCUCUCCGGGAUCCCUCCGGCUCCCAGGGGUGUCCCGCAGAUCACGGUGUGCUUCGACAUCGACGCAAACGGCAUUCUCAACGUCUCGGCCGAGGACAAGACGACUGGGCAGAAGAACAAGAUCACCAUCACCAACGACAAGGGCCGGCUGAGCAAGGACGAGAUCGAGAAGAUGGUGUCCGAGGCCGAGAAGUAUAAGUCCGAGGACGAGGAGCACAAGAAGAAAGUGGAGGCGAAGAACGCGCUGGAGAACUACGCCUACAACAUGAGGAACACGAUCAAGGAUGACAAGAUCGCCGGGAAGUUGGAGGCUGAUGACAAGAAGAAGAUCGAGGAGGCGGUGGAGCAGGCGAUCCAGUGGCUGGAUCAGAACCAGCUGGGCGAGGCGGAUGAGUUUGAGGACAAGAUGAAGGAGCUGGAGAGUAUCUGCAACCCGAUCAUUGCGCGGAUGUACCAGGGCGCUGGCGGAGCUCCGGGUGAUAUGCCCAUGCCGGGCGCUGGAGCGUAUCCGGGCGGAGGUGGCGGUGGCGGCGCUGGGGCUGGUGGCGCUGGGCCCAAGAUUGAGGAGGUUGAUUAAAGCCACACGAGGUUUUUUUUUUUUCUCUUGUUGUGGCAAACUUUGAUUGGAUCGAUUCUAUAAUGCUAUGAUGGCAAUCCAUUUUUCUUUCCAUGGGAGGUGGUCGCUCAUUGGCUGCUCGAGCAAGUGUUUCACAGAUAAAACAACGUCGUGUUGGACGCAGGGCAUGGUAGGGUGGCUGCUCUCUCGCUUGCACCAGAGAUAUCUUCGCUGCAAAUGUGGGAGGAUUGAACGAUGCAUAGCUGGUCUUAAACUUGAUUGGUCCACCUGCCAUACGAUGAUGCUGGUAUAACGAGCACAGCAGCAACUGGACCUCUUGGAGGAGAUGUUGGCACUGGCUCACCAUUGUUGCUGCUGUCAGGAUUCACAAUUCCAACAUCCAAGUGGGAAUGCCAAAGAGAUCAUUGAAAUCCAUGGAGCAAACAACGCUUUGGAACGAAGCGAAGAAUUUAAAGCCACACACCACACAUGCAUCGAUUGGAAUAAAGUAAACAUUAUAAAUUGAAAUUUUUAAAAACCGUUUUAGCAAAUUGAUUUUUGUUGUUAUUAUCUUUUCCAUACAAUUCACAAAAAAUCUUAGAAUUCACAAUAAAUGAAAUUUAAAUGAAAUGUUGGUGGAUUUGUGAGUGCAUGGAAUAUAGAAAGGGAAUACAGAAAUGUGCAUAUCAAUUAACCCAAAAACCCUAGCUUAUAUACAGGAGCGAGUGGUCCAGAUUGAAACCAAUCCGACGGCUACCAAAAUCCACUACGCUAAUAUUAGUAUACGGCAUCGUAGCCGUACACUUGGCCCUCACAUCAUCCCCUCCUCUCGGAAUAAUGGAAGGCCGUCAGGGUUCUCUUGUAGAUGGGCCGGGAUCUGGAGGAACGUCAGGAGGAGGCAUCGGUGGAUCUGUAGACGGUAUUAAUUGCUCCUGAUCCCUCUGUAUGAAGCGUUUUAACCGCUGCACAUGCACAAUCUCCGGAGGAUUAGCCUGCUGAACGUCAUGCCGAACCUCAUAAACUUGUGGUCCAACUUGCCGCAACACCCGAUACGGUCCUUUCCACUGCACAAGGAGCCCCUUAGAUAAACCACGUACCGUAAGAUGGGGAAAACGGACUAACACCAAAUCAUCCACUUUGUACUCCGCUGGUGGACGAUGAUGGGAAUUGUAGCGCCGUUGUUGUCCCACUUGUACGCGGCCUAAGUGUUCAGCAGACUCUGCUCGGACAAGUGGAAGAAUGCUUGUCAAAUAUUGAUCCCAUGACCUAGCAUCAGGAGCUCGUGGCAAUUGCGAAGGUAAACCUAGCUCUGUUGGUAAUAUUGGAUCAUGACUAUAUAGAAGUUUAUAUGGUGAAGCACCAACAGAACUCUGCACCCCUAUGACACCGAAGAGACGGCAAAUAACCAUCCCAAUCCGAAUGUUGAAAGUUCACAUACUUCGCAAUCAUCCCUUUGAAUGUUCGAACGAGCCGUUCCACCAGAUCGUCUGAUUGUGGAUGAUAAGCACUCGUAAAAGUGUGGCGUAUCCCCAACCGAGAUGUCAAAACAUGAAAUACCUCAGCCAUAAAUGCAGGACCAUUAUCCGAAAGAAUCCGUUCUGGACAAGAAUGCUGGAACACCACUCGAUUGAGGAGGAAGUAUCCAACAGCAGUUGCAGAGGCACUAGCAAGAGCACCAACUUCCACCCAACGAGUCAAGUAGUCAGAAGCAAUAAUAACAUACUCAUUGCCAGUAGUCGAUCGCAGAAAAGGUCCUAUAAGAUCAAAUGCCACCAACUCAAACGGACGAGAAACUGCAAUUGACUCCAACCGUCCUUCCGCAGCACAAGGGAGAGUAUUACGAGCUUGGCACCAAACGCAGCUACGCACAUACCGGAUAAUAUCACGUUGCAUCUCUGGCCAAUAGAAAGAUCUGCGCAACUUCUCGGUGACACGACGGUGUCCCAUAUGCCCACCUAGAAUAGGAGAAUCAUGGUAGGCAUGGAGAAACCGCGGAAUAAACACCGAAGGCACCACCAGCCGUAAAUGAGCAUCAGGAUCCGUCCCCACAAAAUAAAGAAGGCCAUCUUCAAGGCGAUAUUGAGAAUGUAAAUGCCAAAAAGGCAAGUCAUCAGCAAGUGAUGCAGGAUUCUCAAACCCAUCUCGAAGCCUUCGAAUCCACGGCUCAAUCUUUUGAGCCUCGCGAACCUCAUCCAGAGAAGGUAGAUCUUGCUCUACACCCUGUGGACACUGAACGUCAAGGACAGCAACCGCCGACGGCACAGAAUCCUCAUCUAGAAAAUCCACAGAUGCUGGAACAACAGGUUUGUCAGAAACAUGAGAAGUGAGUGGAGAAGGAAGAGGAGCUCGAGAAAGGGCAUUAGCAUCAGCCAUAGAACUCCCUGGGCGAUGAACAACAUCGAAAUCAUAUAUCUGAAGCUUCAAAGCCCAUCGAGCCGUACGACCAACCAGGUUCUUCCGCUUCAAUAAUGAAGUAACAGCAGCAUGGUCACCUUCAAGUAACGUCCGAGAACCAUGUAGAUAGGCAUGAAGUUUCUCGAAACCCCAGACUGCUGCUAAACACUCCUUCUCCGUCGUGGAGUAGUUCAUCUCCGCUGGUUGUAAUGUACGGCUUAUGUAUGCAAUGGGAUGGCGCUGACCAGGCACACUCGAGCUCUCUUGCAUCAACACACCUCCAAGACCAAUGUCAGAAGCAUCCACGCGCAAAAUAAAAGGUCGAGUGUAGUCAGGAUAUGCCAAAACCGGAGGAGUCGUCAAUAGCUCUUUGAGAUUCACGAACGCCCGCUCACAAUCGGGAGACCAGAUGACAGAUGACGUUGAUGACUUCAGCAACGCUCGCAAUGGUAAAGUGCGAUCGGAAAGAUGAUCCACAAAACGACCGAGAUACUGCACCUUACCCAAAAAGCGCUGCACAUCAUUCACACACUUCGGAGUAGGGAACUUUAGAACAGCCACAAGUUUGUCAGGAUCAACUUGCAAACCCUCACGAGAAAUACGGUACUCAAGAUAAGUUGUGUCCUUGGACCCAAACACGCACUUCGACCACUUCAGCUUUAAACCAACGUCGCGUAGCCGAUCCAACACUUUACAAACAUCAAGAACAUGCUCCUCCCACGUCCCCUCCGAGUGGAUCAAGACAUCAUCAAUGAAGUCAGCCGUCACCUCCGGCAUAUCGCAAAGAACCUCGUCCAUCAUUCGCUGAAAAGUUGCUGGAGCAUUGUUCAAACCAAACGGCAUCACCAAAAACUCGUACAAACCAAAUGGUGUACGAAAAGCAGUCUUAGGAAUAUCGUCUUCAGCCAUCGGUACUUGCCAAUACCCAGAAGCAAGAUCUAGCUUGGUGAACCAACAACUUCGCCCCAGACGAUCCAAGAGAUCAGCAGUGUGAGGAAGAGGGUACACGUCCGGGAUCAUCACUUCAUUUAACGGACGAUAGUCGAUGCAGAAACGAAUACUCCCAUCAGGCUUCGUCACAAGAUGAGGUUCACAUGCCCAAGGACUCCGCGACUUCCGAAUAACACCCUUCUCCAACAUCUCCUUGACGUUUGCACGUAAAAUCUUGAUCUCCUUGGGUGACCGACGACGAACAGGAACCUUGAUUGGACGAGCAUCCCCGGUUGGAAUGGGAUGACGUGUGGCAAUCUUGGCCCCAGACGAUAGGUCAAAUUCAAAGAGAUCAGAAUACUCCUUCAUGAGUUGGUCAACAGCUGCAACACAAAGAUCAUCGGAGGGAUCGGAAAAGGGAAGAGCAGAACAAGAUGGAAACACAAGAGGAAAUAAUGGGGGAACAAAAGUAAUGGAAGCAGAGGUAGAAGUAGAGGGACGAAGAGGUACAGAAGUGAGAGGAAUGGAUGAAACAUAAGGAAGUAUGAGACAAGGGGGAAAAGCCUCAAAGUCACACUUGGCAUGAUUGUGCUGCAACCAAUCCAUACCAAGAAUGAGGUCAAAAGCUUGACUCGGCACCACCCGCAACGACUGCAACUCAAGCUCGAGAUCGCCCACACGCACAACCAGGUCCGCCUCAUCUCGUGCACAUGCAUGUGUACGGCCGUUGCCAUAAAGAAUGAAAACUGGAUCCGCCGCACGACGCAAGUGUAGACGACAAUGUGUGGCAACAGGUCGAGCAAUAGAAGAUAAACUCGAACCUGUAUCAACCAACACGGAGAGAAGAAUAUGAGACCUCUUGUUAUAAAAACGAGCUUGGAAAGUAAACACUGGAUGAACCGGUGCCGAGUGAACCCCUUGAUGAUACUCCCGAAAGAAAGAUGGAGGGGUCACUAACUUAUUCGCGCAAGGUCCCUCCAUUACUCGCGCGACUCCUCGUUUCCCGAAUGCACCUUGGUAUCCAAACCUUCCACCGCAGCAGCACCAACGGGACGUUGCUGACGCCAAGGUCUCCACCCAGGAAAUGGAGGUCGCCAAUCCGGAAAGCGCCGACAACGCCGAUAAGUAUGACCAACUUCAUCACACGCCCAGCAACGAAUGUCACGGCCACGACCACGUCCUUGCCCUUGUCCUUGGACUCGAGUAGCAGCAGCAUCAACCUCCAUGGGAACAGGACUAUCACUCAUAGGAAGUGGAGCUGAAGGACGUGUAGCAAGAAGUGGAAGAGGCGACGUCUCAUAACGUUGUGCCAAGCGAAGAGCAUCGUCAAGAGUGGCAGGAGCAAGUGCAUGCACAAGUCCGACAAGAUCUUGACGAAGUGCUGGCCACAGCAUUCCUAGCUUGAUCCGCUCCGACAUAUUUGGCUCCGCACGAAGCAAAAGACUUCGGAAACAAACGCCAAAUUGCAUCACCGACUCAGAUGGCCCUUGGCGAAGACGAUGCAAUUGUUGGAAGGCAUCAUCACAAUUGUCGGCGUGUCCGAAGGCGCGUUUGAAGACGCCCGGAAGAACACUCCAAUCGCCACGAGUAGCUGCGCUCAAUCCAUUGUACCACUGCAAUGCCGUCCCUUGAAGACAUGUGGGGAACUCACGCAAACGUCGAGCAUCAUCCCAAGAAUGAUAUGUGGCAAUCACCGUGAAGUGAUCGAACCAAUGGUACACAUCAUCCCCAGGAUUCCCACGAAAGAACUCCGGCCGAACGAGAGGAUUGGCACCAAAAGCAGGAGGAGUUGUACCAUGUGCCGUGAACGCCGCCAUCAACUGAGUUUGGUUGUUCAAUUGCAGGCACAUAGCAUCAAGCAAUUGAACCAACUGCUGCUCUAGAGUCAAAGGAGGAGAUUGCGGAUCGGCCAUGAAAAUGAAUGAGAAAGAAAGAGCAAAAGAAGAGAAAUGACAAAAAGCUGGAAAGAAAUGGUAGAUCUAGACAAUGCAAAAAGCUAGAUAUAAACCAAAAUCCUGAAAGGAAAGAACAAAAGAAAGGAAAUGGAAAAAGCUAGAUCUAGACAAUGCAAAAGCUAGAUCUAAACCGAAAUCCCAAAUCCAAGCACUCCCCAGGGACAAUCAAAGUUGCCCCUCACCUCCACCAAUGUGAGUGCAUGGAAUAUGGAAAGGGAAUACAAAAAUGUGCAUAUCAAUUAACCCAAAAACCCUAGCUUAUAUACAGGAGCGAGUGGUCCGGAUUGAAACCAAUCCGACGGCUACCAAAAUCCACUACGCUAAUAUUAGUAUACGGCAUCGUAGCCGUACACUUGGCCCUCACAGAUUGAAAUUUUUUUAAAAAAUUAAAACUUAAAUUUUAAGGCCUUAGGCCAUUGAACAAAAGAAUAAACUUAAACUUUUAAAUAUAAAACCUCUCGCAGUAGAGCGGCAGUGAUUUCUCGGAAGGGAGCUCCAGCUGCUACUUCUUGACGAUCUUCUUUUGCGACUGUGAGCACCAGCUAAAGGAGGUGAACGUCAUGAGAACGAUCUGCUCAUCAGUGAAGGACAUAGGAGUGGAUGAGAGGAACUUAUGGCGGUGACUUUGAAGCUCCUGGAUCACUGUUGAGGGGACACUUGCAGGAGAUGGUCACGUCUUUGACACACCGGUUUGAUUCGCUUCUCGAAAGGACCCCGCCGAGCGCUGUGUCCGGUGAAACUUGAAAUGGCCGCCAGCCUCGUAAAACAGCAGCUUGACGUCGAGCUCCAGAGCAGUGGAAUCCAGCCCGAGUCCAGCAGUCGCGAGCGACGGACGAGAAUAAGUUUGGCACCUCUGGGCCGGGAUUGAUCUGCCAACCUCAUCCGUGACUCUCUCCAAGGCCGUGUGGAGCUCGGACAGAUCGCCAUUGGAAACACACUACAAACUUUCUAGGGUUUAUCAGCAAUUCAACGGUCAGAUUUUAGUAUAUUCUAACGCACUAAAUUCUUAGAAUAUUCUUAUUUAAAGAAUAUACUUUAGUGCAGAUUGCUAUCAGUAGUAUCCUUCUUCCAGAUUGAUUCAAUGCGGCCUUAUUGAAUGAAGUUUAUACUUACAUGUGGCGCACCGAGACUACCAGAUAGAAUGCCAAUGCGUCAUUCCCACUCCCCCCAAUCCUGAGAUAUAGAAAACACACACAAAAAAAAACUAGAGCUUUGACGAUGGCAAAAGCUAAAACGAUGUGUACCUCGUCUGUAGUUUCUCCAGUCUUGCGUUUCGCAGCAUCCUGAGGAUGAUCCUCGUUCUUUGCGUCCUUCUUCUCACUGCGAAGUAACGAAAGGUUUUGCCAGAUUCGAUCGAUACACGCGAAUGGAGGGUCGUCCUUUACCUGUGAAGUGAGGAUUGUGGAGUAUCAGAGGCCAAAGUUUCCCUGUCUUCUUGAACGACAAGCCACUCGCUGCUUGUGCUGUUGUCACUCCUGACUUCAUCCUCUGUGACGCUCUCUGCAAAUGCGAAAUCAACGGGAGUAAAAGGCGGAGAUGUUGCUUGCACCUCUUGGAAGCGCUGGAGUGUUGGGACUGAGGUCAUCCUCUGGAACACGCUGGCUCUGAUCAUUUUCUUCGUCAACUUCCCAGCUCAGAUCUUCCUCCACGGCAUUUGCUCCUGCGCAACGAGUGAGUAUCAUAUGAAAAACUCCUACGCUUACUCUUAACAAGGUCUGCUCUAGCAUCCUCCGCUUGCUGUAGCUUAUUCACGCGAUAGAAAUAACGGGUCCAGAAUGUCUCGUGGUCGACGCUCGUCGGAACUGGCAGAAAGCAUCGUCAGGUCGUGUGUCAAAGGCAUAGCAAGCCCACCUAUUCUCGCAUGAAUCUCUUGAAUAAAAGGAUUCUCUUCCAUUAGAAGUUCUACUUCACCUUUCCUGCCAUUAAGACUCAGUCGAUCCGUCGCUCAAUUGCUUAAGAAAAACUCACCUGUUAUCGAGAUCGAAGGUUGAUUUCCAAACGGCAUAGUCCUCUCGAUCCUCUGGUUCCUCGCAGUACGUGCUGUUGUCACACUGCAGUGCAUGAAGCUGGAAGGAAGAAAAGCGUCAGAAUUGGAAUCUUACGGAAAAAGCAACUUACUUGAGCCUCGUAUCUUCUGUACAUCCCCUUCCUUGAAAAAAAGACAGUGAUUGUUUAACAUACGAAACAGCGAAACGUACCCGCUGGAAAGAGGGGUGGAGCUAGCCUCUGAAUUUUCAGUAACAUCCUCGUCCACUUUUUUCACAGCUUCCUUCACUUGGCCGAUAAGGUCCGCUGUUCUGCCAGGAAAUAGUGUCAGGGCAAUCUUAGAAACAAGCAGCGCUUACCCUCGCCAAACCGAGCUUCCAAAAUCUUCUAGUUUCUGGCCAACAGCUUCAAGUGAUUCCUGAGCAGCCAAGCUCCAUCAAAAAUCGUUUUGGUAGAAAGCUUUUCGAUUUUACCUGAGCAACAGCAGCAGUGCUUUCCAAGGAAAUUGGGAGAUCCUUCACGGCAUGAGCUGUGACCUCCGCAGCAACAGUUGUCUCGCGCUUUAAUCCGAUGCCAAACUCUUGCAAGUCACGCUGAUACGCUUGCAAGACUUCCUCCGACUGAAAGACAAAGACAAAGGAACAAGGAAAAGCUUUUAAGUUCACGCGAAACUUGCGAGAGCCUUACCUUGGACGUCAAAGACUUCACCAAGCUUCCAAAGCUCCAAGCGCUGCAGAGAAUGGAACGACACAGCCAUUAAGCUGGAUAAAAUCGCUGGAUCGCGGCUCAAAUUUACCUCGACUGCCACGAGUUAGUUCCUCCCUCCGAUUGCUCCUGAGAAGAACGAGAAAACGAGGAUCAAGCAGCUGGAAAUCCCAAAUGUAGACUGAUUUGGCACGCGCCAGGUCGGAUUUCUCCGGCAAUUCGCAUGCAUGGGAGGCAGAAUCGCGCGAGGCUACUCACCAUUGUGGCGGGCGAUGGAUGGAUCGCGCUCGAGCAUGUCCCGCCCUCACAGGCGCUGCCCUAAAACCCCAACUUUGAUAGAAGGACGCGCCGUGCACACUUCGAUGGGCCAGAGGUCACAAUCUUCCGUACAAUAAAUAGUUCCUCUAGGGCAAGUUUGUGGAGGCGAGGCAAUCGAUCGACCUAGGUAUGAGAAUGCAGCGCCAGAUCUCGAGAUAGAUCGCGAUCGCCGCAUUGUAGAAGGAUCAAGCAAGUCUUAGUUCUUUAGAGAGAAUUCCAGGGGAUUUCAACCAUUUCUCGAUCGUGCCGGCGACAGGAACUUUAGCUUUGAAGGAUAGUGGCCUUCUGGGACGAUCGAGAAGGAAGGAGGGAAAAAGGAAGCUUUGGACGGAUCGAUCUGGAAGAAAAGGAGAAGAAUUAGAGUCUUCUUUGGAAGAUAACUUUUUGCUUGAACGCGGUGCUUUGGGACGCGACAACGAUAUUGCUUUGCUGCCGCUCGCUUUUCCAAGGCCCUGCGUUUUUUGACACGGUGGUCCUCGUCCACGCAGCUCCACGUCAAAGGUAAUCGCUGGUCAGCUUUUUCGCCGUGGAAACUUGAGAACUUGCAGCUCGAGGUAGAGUUUAUCUUGUUCGUGCUCACUGAGUUCGCCGUCCACACAGGAAGUAUCAAGUUAAAAUACGAGAAAGGAGGAUUUUUGGCUCGAUGGCAAUGCGAGGAGCAGCUGGUUCUUCGUUUUUCCAGAGCAGUAGCAUAAGAUUAGUCCAGCAGCAGCAGCGGCAGUGUCACAGGGAUAGAAGCAGCGGCAAAGUUCUGCCUGUUAGAAGAGCAGCGACGAUUAGAAGCAGUGGCAGCAGCGCGGAGAGCGUCCAAGCAAGAGAUUUUGUGGCUUUGCCAAGACCGAAUUUGGAGGAGAGGCCUCCGAGGCUUUGCACUCUCAGAGCUUUCAGCCAAGAUGGGGGCGACUCGGUGGCUAUGGGGAGUGCGUGGGACUCGGCGACUAUCACCUCUUCCUCAGCUUUUCUCAAGCAACUGGCGGCGAGUGUCCAAGCCACAGCUCAAGCGCAGGACUUUGAAACGCUCUCGGGUCGCUUUGCAAUGGUGAGAUCUUUGAUCUGUUCUCUUGUUUUUUGAUUUCCCAUUCAUUCGCGGUGUUUGUUUUGAUACAGGUUGCUUUCGCUGUGGCUUUAGGACUAGAGUUUGUGACAGGCAACAACGUGUUCAAGGGAAUAGAAGUGAAAGAACUGGGUGAGACUUUAGGCUUCUCUGCAGCGUGUGUCAUUUCCAUGGCGGCUUUCAGUGCUGCUUGGGGGGCAAAGAAGCGAAUCGGGCUCUACAUGACAAAAGGCUGCCAAGAUCUUGUCGAGUUCAUCCUCACCGACACAAUCGACGCCAUUUUCUACGACCAAGACGAUGACCCCAUGAAGUUGUGAGUUAAAAAUCUUACAUUUAAAAAGCAAGCUAGCAGACACAACGGUCCUUUGACGCUUCCAUCGAGUGACUAAAGCUUGGGCUUGGCGAGACUCUUCCCUCUAAAUCCUGUGUGAGGGGAUUUGAGCGCUUGCUCCUGGGCUUGCAACUUCCAAGAUCAUCACUAAGCACCUCCUUGCACAUGGACUGUAUCACAGUGCUUCCUUCGAAAGCUUUGGUGAUCAGUUUGGUAUUGGAGGUUGGUUGUGAUGGUUGACCAAGCUGAAUGCUGGAAUCUUAUUAUUGAUGGUGGUGUUGAUAAUGGUGCCGACGGAAUUGUAGAAAUUUGGAUUAUUCAAGAUGUUAUUCAUGAGUUGCAAGCCUUUAAUCUAAAUCAAUGGCAUGAUAGAUACUGUGUUAAGGCACUUGAGGCUGGACAUGGUAGCGCUUCAAGUAAACUUUCUUUGGUAGAUUUUUAACUUGCACAUCUUCCUCUGUGGAUCUAGCAAAGAACAAGUGCCAGUUUUCGCCUUUUUUUGUUCUGUCGAAAUACUUCUGGAGGAGUCUGGAAUGAUUUCUCCGAGAGCCCAGAGUGCCAUCAUGACGAGCUCAAGUAGUGAUUUACAGCCACACUAAUUAUCACCACCAGUAUCACCUUGAUCACUCUCAUGUGCUUCUCGUUUCUCAUCCACUUAAGCUUUGGCUCAGAAGCCCCAGCUUCUCCCCUUCUAUUUGUCAAGAACCAAUGGUGCAAGAACGAAAGCUUGGAAUAGAUGGGGAGAUAACUCUAGGUACCUUUUCUUUCUCGUUCUUCCUCACAUAUCCUUCGCCUCAGAGCGUUUAGCAGCGAGCCAAAGUAUAGUGAAAGAACCGUGCACGUCAGGUGAUCACAUUGUAAAUCCGCUGUGGCCAGUUGCGUCAAUGAAACUUCACUAUAUAUUUGCAUUGGACAUUGUCUCUGUAAGAGGAGAGCAAAGACAAAAGCCAGACUGGAAAAAAAAAACAAUCGACUACCUGAAUAACAGCUAAAAUGUGCGAGUGACUGUAUCACUUUGGAAUUGUUUGAACACACAGCACAGUUGAAUGUGAUGUGAAGAAUGGUUGAAUGGGAUGUGAAGAAUCCCUGCAUGAAUGUAAUAGCAUCAUCAAGAUCUCUUCCAAACAACCAGCAAUAUCACAAACCUUGCCAUAUUGGAUCUUCAGAGUUACGGCCUAGGUUGCAAUAGAAACUCGCAAGCAAUCUCCACAGCAGCAGGAGCUUUGCGAUCUUCUACUGAUGUGAAUCUCAUCAGUCUAACCACGGACCAAAACUCCACGGCCAUCCAACAAAACCUGUAGCGUGUGGCCAUACAAAUGAUCAUACCAUGGUAUCAUCUGGAGGAUCAUAAUGUCGACGUACUCGACUGCCUCAAUACCUGGAGAGUAACAGUCCCAAGCAGAACCAUUAUUAAACGAAAUGACGAUGGAUCCCCUUAAGUUAAACCUUUUAUUUGUAAUAUUUGACACACAAGUGGAUCUCAUAACGCUCAUUGGUGAAAUAUAACUCUACUCCCAAUAUCAAAUUAUGCAUUUUCAUAGGCAAUCCAUUUAAUAAUUGUUUUUAGAUUAUAAUUAAUUUAAAAGUUAGAGGAUUAGCACUUUAAAAAAAAAGGCAGAAAAUUUUAGGAAUUUGGCACAAUCCUUGAUAUGGAAUCACUAACAACACCUGGUUUUUGUAAUACAAACAUAGAAAUGUACAACAAAUGCAAUAAAGAUUUUAUAUGUGCUACAAUGACACAAGAUAUAAUUCUUCUCUUUUCCUUUGAGACCAUUGCUAUUAAGUUCUUUCUCAAAUAAGCAAGAACAACAACAUACUUAAAAUUUUCAAAAUUUCUCCUUCUGUUAGUUAUUUUGAUUUUAGUGCUGCCAUAGAUGGAUGUACUAGUUAUUAAUUUACAAGGAUUAAGUUAAAGGCUAAGGGAGUCUUUGAAAAUGUGCAAAGACUUGCAAUCUUAAAGUAGUGGCAUAAAUUCAAUUAUAAGGAAUCCUAAUGAAACUCCUGCAAAUUAUACUUUUUGUACCAACCAACAAAGAAUAAUACAUAAUAAGCAAAUGUAUCUACCACUUUGUUAAUAAAGAUCAAAUGGAACUAGGCAACCAGGAAAAGUGAUUCCAUAUCAAGGAUUGUACCAAAUUCCUAAAAUUUUCUGCCUUUGUUUUUAAAGUACUAAUUCUUUGUUCUAAAAUUUUAAAUUAAUUAAAAUAUAUAAAAAAUUAUUAAAUGGAUUGCCUAUGAAAAUGCAUAAUUUGAAAUUGGGACACCAAUGAGCGUGAUGAGAUCCAAAUUACAAUAUCCUUUGUGUAUAGAAAAUUACAAAUAAAAGGUUUAACUUUGCUAGUUUAAACUAGCAAGGACCUGAGCUCUACUAAAAAAAUUAGAAUUGCAAAAGUUUUAUAUGAUAUUAAUACUAUUGAAAGUUAAAUAGUAAAUAGAAACUGUAAGUAAGUUUUUAUGAAUAUGGGAGGAAUACAUAAUUGAAUUUUAUCAUAGAAAAUAUCUGUAAGAGAAUAAAAUUCCCCAAUUGUGAAUAUGGAGUCUAUUGGUAAAAAAGUCAACUUAUGCAACAGUAAAAAGCUCCUGUUAUUAUUACUACAUGUUUUAUAGUAUUCAUUGCAAUGACAAAAUUCCAUAGUUCAUAAGUAUUAGCUAUGAUUAGUAUUUGAUUAAAUUUUUUCAAAAAUAGCAUCUUAUAAGUAUUUAUCAUUUAUACAUUUUUUUUUAACAAUGUAGAUAUCUAAUAUAGUUAAAUUAUCCUAUAUUUAUACCCUCCAACCUUGCAAAGAUUUCUUGUUAGGUGGAUACUCCAAAAAAAAAAUUGUGCUAGACACUUCUCCACACAUCUAAAGAUGUGUGUUAAUCCUUGCCAGGACUCCUUAACUCUUAAGAGAAAUUAAAUACCAAGCUAACCAGUUACAACUUUUCAGGAAAAAUACAUACACCAAAGAUGGGUCACAAGAAGAAGAACCAACAGCUAUGAGAGCAAACGCUAUGAGAUUAAAAGUCAUUUCAAGAUUAAACACAAUCUGAAAAUUUCCAGCGCAUAAAUAAAAAAUUGAGAAACAUCUUGGUGGUGCAACCAAAUACCUCUCUAAAUCAAGAGUAGCACUAGACUAUGGUGUUCCACAGCAAGAGAUACUGGGGCUGUAUGUCACUGGACAUAACUUAUAUUUGCUUUCAAGUUAAGAAUUUAUCAACAUUAAAUCAUUACAAAAGAAUUAAAAAAAGUUUUAAAUUGAUAUAGAAUAUACCUGAAUAUUCUAGGUAUAUCCUUACACCCACUAUGGUUUUAAUCUUAAAAUAUUUUCAUAAACUUUAAUUCUAAAUUUAAGGUAUUAAUUUAAAUUUUAAGUUUACAGGCUCAAUCCAAAGGCUCUGAUUAUUAAUAUUUUUAUAAUUAGUAUUACAAAGUAGAAUUUAAACUAUUUAUUCUAGAAUUUAAUUAUCAGAGACUACCAUAAAUUUCACCAACUUAAAACCAAAGAUGAUCCAACAUUAAAAAAUUACAUAUCUUAUAAACAUAUAUAUAGAUAAGGAAUUAACAUAUUACUAAAGCUUUAAAUAAUAAAUUCUUCUAUAACCAUUACUAGUAAAUUAUAUAAGUUGAAUAGUUGUUAAUAUUGAAAUUAUUUUGGUGCUCUUAAAUUGUAUAUAAAUUCUUAUAUUAAUUAGUAAUGAAAUAUAAUAAUAACUUUUUAAGCCCAUGAAAUUUAAGUAAUCUUUCUCACAUCAUAAAAAAUUAAAAUAAAUUCUUCUAGUCUAAAUAAAUUUGAAUAUGUAAACAAAAAAGUAUAUUAAUGAUAAAAAUAAGAUUUUUCUUCUAAAAACUGCUUCAUUUUUCUGAUCAUACCCAAGUGUGAAAUAAGAACAAUUAAUCCCCAAGUCGCACUACCGAGACAAAGCUCUUUUAUAUUCCUAUCGAGCCCAUAGAAACAAUUCGACUUGCAGAAUAUGUGCAAGGACAGCUACCUCAAGGUGAGAAAAACGAGAAAAAAGACUACAACAAAGACCAGUAUUGACAUUGAAGGCGUGACCUUAAAAGUACUCUCCGUCCGCUCCGAGACCCUCAAACCUCCGCUCAAGGAAGUCGACAGAAAAUACCUGAAAGAACCGCUUGCACAAUUUUAAAGCUUUGAACAGAACCAAACUUUCUACCUGUUGUCCUUGGAGAACUCGACGGCGGUAAUAGCAAACGAGUGCGCGGAUUUGACCCGUUGGACAACCUUGAGCGUCGCGGCCUCGACAACGAGAACAUCACCCUCCGAGCAGCCCCUGCUCAAUCACACAGCUCACCAAGUUACUUCAUCUCCGACCAAAUGAAUCAAUCACCUACAUUGCCAAGAGCUUGCCAUCCGAGCUGACACUGAAGGCUGAGAAAGGAUGCGUGCAAAACCUCUCCUUGCGUGUCUCUUUGGUUCUCCAGUCCUCACUCCAGUUGGUAAUAUGGCCUGCGCAGAGUAAGAACUACAACCGUCGAGAAAACAUAGAGAUUUAAACCUUUGCUUGAUGCUACAUGGAGUUGCGGCGUUGAACUCCUUGAGAACCAGCAGUAGCGUCCUUCCUCGGAAGGAAUGACACGCAGAUGAUUGUCUCCAUGGAGCUCCCACACGUAAGUUUUUCCACCACUUGUGGACGCAGCCAAGAGCGUUCCUUCCUCACUAACAAAGUCUGGUUAUCAGCAACAUCACUGAGAGCAAAACACGCCACCAUACCUGAAUUCGAGAGACUUAAACUCUGCCGAUCCAAUCUCACACUGCUCGUCCACGAGAAGCUCCAACGAAGGCCAUUUGUAUACACGCAAGUGUCCAUUCUAGUAUAGAGAAAAGCACAAAGUGUUUGAGGUAGAAGUAGUAGCAAGCAAAAGAGGAAAACCAAACCAUUCCCGCGGUUGCAAACAUGGUGCCGUCCAUGCUGAAGGCCAUGGCAGUCUGCUCCUUCGCUAUGACGAUUUCGCGAUGGGCGCUCUCUAUACUCAAGUCCUCAGCCAAGCGAAAGAAUUCCAGUUUCCCGUCGUGCCUAAACGAGUGUAAGUAGAAGAAAAAGGGAGGAAGAAAAAAACUGGAGCUUACCACUCAUUGGCGAUGAAGGAGCAAACAAAGUCCGUUCCAUUGGGGUGGAUCGCCAGAUGAUAAGGAGCGUCGAGGCCUGUGCUCCGUGUAUACAGCUACAACCACAUCGAUCGAUCGAUUCAAAGCUCUACAAUCUCCGCUAGGAAUUUACCUGUUCCAUCGCGGAGCCGGUCCAUCGCGCGAGGAUGAGCAUGUUGCCACGCCCGCUGCGCGUUGCCCCGCCUCCACCGCCACACACGACAUAGCCAUCCUUCGCCCACGCAGCACAAAACACGGGAACGCUCAAGGUGCUUCUCGCCAUUGCAAAAAGGAAUUAGGGCUUUUGCGCCUAUUAUAUGCGCGUUGAGAUCCAACGGUGGUGAUUGAGAACGAGGAAAGUGGCGGGAAAGGCAUGUCGUAAUGGAACAGGUCCGAUCGAUCUGGUAGCUUUUCAAGGUUUUGCUGCAAUGGAUGCGAUUAAAUAGAGCCACAUCAAGUUCACACGCCCGGUAUCAGAACCGUCGAUCUCAAAUCGUGACGUUAGUUGAGGAAGCUCAUCUGAAAAUGGGAUAUUGAAAUUAUAGAGCCUAUCUUUAUCUGUAAUAAUAUUUGAAGCUACAUUGAUGUAGAUUCUUUCAUUAUCAAGAUCUCAAACUACAUAUUUAUAAUACUUCUCUGAUUAUUUCUAAAUUUGAGAGAAUACAUGGCUGAUAAUAAUAUUCUUGAGAAUACACUGAUCUUGAAAGUGUUUUCACGAACAAAAUCAUUGAAAUGGAGAGCAGCAAUCCAAAGAAAACGUUGAUUUAGAGAUUGUUCCAGUGGCAUUAAAAUUCAUUUCUUACUAAUAUGUUUAAAUAAAUAAUAUUCUCACAGAUUAAUAAUUUAAUAUGCAACCUACCAAAAAAUCCAGGAGUCUCGUUCCCCUGUCGUAGAGGACUUUUCAUUGUAGUUUUUCUUACGUCGCAUGUUUUUGGUUUGCUUAAUUACGGGAUUUUGAGCAGCUCGAAAACAGGAGAGAGGGACGCACAAUGACAGUUCUACUCUGAAUCGAUCGUUAAUAAGCACAAUGUUCCACCUUCCAAUUCUCGGCUGCUCAGACACAUCCUUGCCCACAAGCAAAACUAAUCUCCGAGCUUGGAAACAGGCGCAAUGGCCUCUUCUCGCUAUGGCUACAUGCCGAGUCUUUCUUCUCGGCCUCGUCAAUGUUGUGAAGAACGCUGGAAGAUCCAGAUCCUUGAGCUUGGUCACCAUCUCUCGGACCUUUGCUAGGAUCUCCCGGCUCUGGGGGUGGCGGCCAGCGUCUCCAGCCACGAAGCUAUGCACGAGGCCGGAGUUAUCAUCCGACCACCAUCUUCCAUGCUCGGGCCUCGCCUCUCAUCAUCUCCACCUCGUUUUGCUCCUCCCACAUCUCCAAGCUCGCGUAGAUGUUCGCCAUGAGAGUGUAGUGCGAGGCGUUUCUCCUGUCCAGCAGCAUCAAUGCGUUGAAAGCUCGUCUCCCGAUCGCAGCGUUCUUCCACUUCCGGCUGGCCGCCAAGACUGUUCUCCAGGCCAGCACGUUGGCCUCGAAAGGCAUCGUCUCCGUCACUCUCACUGCCGCCUCGAGCUCGCCUCCACGACCAAGUAUGUCGAUCAGGCAAAUGUAGUGCUCCAUCGCUGGAGCAACGCCGAAUCUCGACUGCAUGGACGCUAAGUAGCUCUUCCCCCGAUCGGUGAGACCUGCGUGGCUGCAAGCCGUGAGGAUGGAGACGAAGGUGACGCCGUCGGGACGCAAGCCAUCGUCGUGGAUCAUCCUCCAGACGCUCUGGAACACGCUAUCAGUGUCACCUUGGCGGCUGUAUCCGGCGAUGAGAGCGCUCCAGGUGACGAGCGUCCUGGCGGGGAGUGCGUCGAAGAGCUGCUCGGCCUCGACGAUGCUGCCGCAUUUGCAGUAGAGAUCCACCAAGCAGUUUGCAAGGAGCUCCUGGCACUCGAGGCCACACUGAGAGGCGAGACCGUGGAGCUUCUUCCCGGACUUUAGCGAGCCGGAGCUUCCACAGGCCCUGAGCAGCGCGGAGAAGAACGGAGGAUCGAGCAGAAGGAGCGUUUGAUCCGAGGAGUGGAUCAUCCUGCCGAAGAAUAUCUCGAGUGCAACGUCCGCCUCGCCACUCUCAGCGUAGCCUUGCAUGAGAGCCGUCCACGAGACCACGUCUGGAGGCUGCUUCAUGCUCUCAAACGCUCGUCUGGCGUCCUCCAUGCUUCCACACUUGGAGUACAUGUCCACGAGCGAGCUGGCGACGAAGCUAUCGUUGCAAAACCCAGCCUUGAUCGCUCCAGCGUGAAUUCUCAUCCCCUUCUCCAGGUGGUCGAUCUUCACAAGCUUCCCACCGAUGUGAUCUGUGGCCUCGUCUUUCGUGGCAAGAAGGCUGCAAGCUUUGAGAGCCGCCAUGAAAACUCUCCCAUCUGGGGAGCAGUGGCUUUCCUCGUCGCCGUCUUGGAUCAUCCGGAAGAAGAGAUCCAUCGCUAGCUUUGCGUCGCCACACUCGACGUAGCCGAGCAGCAGGGAAGUCCACGAAACCACGUCUCGAGCGGCCAUCCUAUCGAAAACCAUCCGAGCGUCCAAGGAGCUGCCACACUUCGUAUAGAUGUCCACGAGAGCGUUGGUGAUGAAAGCGUUGGAGUAGCAGCAGCGAAGCGUGGACACUGCCCGAGAGUGGAUCUCCAUCGCCGUGCUAAGCGCCCGGACCUUGACGAGCUUGCCAUGGAUUCCUUCCGGAGCUUCCCUCGCUGCCAAGCUCGAGCAGGCCUUGAGAGCCGCCACGAAAGCUCUCGAGUCCGGCGAUGGUGUUGCGGAGCUCUCAUCCUCCUCACUUCCAUCGUCUUUUCUCAUCCGGUGGAAGAGCUCCAGCGCGAUCUCUCCCCGCCCAGCCUCGGCGUAGCCCAGCAUGAGAUUGACGAAGGAGGCGGCGUCGCGGCGGGGCAUGGCGUCGAAAACCCUGUGAGCGUCGACGAGGCUGCCGCAUUUGGCAUACAUGUAGAUGAGAGCUCCGCCCACGCGAGUGGUGGAGCUGAAGAGCGCGCUGGCGAUGGCGUCGCUGUGGAGCCUCUUGCCCCGCUCCAAAUCCCUCGACGCCGCGCAAGCCUUGAGCGCCGUGAGGAGCUCGCGAGCCGCGGGCCUGUAGCUGGCGAUGGCAUCGCUGUGGAAAUCUCUCGCGAGUGAGCGCUCGGCGCGAGGGAAUGCGGCAGAGAACUCAACUCCCAAUCGUUUGGCCCAAAAAUCAUAACCUAAGAGAAAGUCGAAUCUUUAAACGUCCAAGAGCAUAUUCGUAUAGACAUCGUAGAAUAUCCUUAUAUUCCACGAAUAACGAAUAUCCAUAUUUAGUGCCGGUCCGUCAAACUUUGACGAUGACUUGAAGUCCUUAUCGAACAAGGCUAGAAAAUGCGCUGCCAAUAGAGCCCUGGUACAUCUCUGGACCCGUUCAGAGGCUUUGGUCGAGGCUCCAAAGUCCUCAGAAUUCCCACUGGUACAUAAAAUUUCUUGCAAGGCUCUUUUGAUUGUUUGUUUUUUCCCAUGUUGCAAAUCUCCAGACUAGAGCAUUCUCAAAGCACCUGGCAGAGAAAGUUUGCAGGAUUUCUCUCAUCGGUCGAGGCUGGUGACGAGUAUCUGCUGGAAUCUAUACUUUUGACAAUGUAGAAAAACAGUGGUAAGUCAAGUCUUAUGUUUGCUAGGAAGAAAGCUUAAUUGGUGUUACUACAAGAUCCCUGGCUACUGCAAAGAAGAUUUCUAUGGAGAGGAAGGUUGUUGUUGGCUACAUUAGUGUCGAAGUACCUAGUUCAUGAUUUUAAAUGGAAGUAACAGUUCCUUUGACAAACUUGGGCCAAAGGAAGAAGAAAUUAAACACACUUAACAUUUUCCCAGUGUUUUUUACUACUCCUUAAGAUCUAAGUGUUUCAAGUUGUAGAAGGACAAAUCUUUCCAAGGAUCUCCUCCAAAUCAUUUUAACGAAUUGCUGGAAAGAGUAGUCAUUACAAAUUUGAGCUCACAAGCUCAAAAGUCAGCAAAAGUCCAUAUACGGUGGCGCUAGCGAGUGAAGAGAUCAAGAUCAUCAAGAGAGUGCUGCCACGAUCCAUGGCUGGAAUUGGAGAUGCAAAACACCGGUGGUAAAUUGGUUUAAAAGCUCUAGAAAAAGUUGACCUCGUGCAUGCGGAGUUAGACUUUUCAAGAUCGAACUCAACCAUGACUUUGAGACUUAAGAUAGAAUCUUGCAAGCACAGGUGUUCUUAUGUUUCCAUUCGAGGAAUCUUGGACAGGCUGCAUGUGACUCCUUGGCAUCUACACUCUUAAAGGAUGAGGUUGUGGUUCUUUUGCAGUUUCGAUCCAAUCUGAAGAGCAAUAUAACCUGAAUUUUAAACACCAUCCAAUGUAGAUAUACCCGUAUAUUUACUGCAUAAAAAAUCAAGCUAGAAUUUUUUUACUGAAGGUUGUAAAAGGCAGGAAGGCACUACAUAGAAACCAUGUGGGCAUAAUUACAUACCACAUUGUCUCUACCACUUCCACUCAUGAUUAACGCCUGAUCCAAGCUUGAAUCUAAGCCUAUAUCAUGUCUAGUUAGUCUAAAUGAAGAGUUGAUGAGAAAAAUAUACAAAAAAUUCAUCAAUUAAGUACCCAAAAUGUUAUUCUUGGUUUUGGCCUUACUUGCACACACUCUUCCUCAUUGCUAUGGCUUCAAUCUUGCCACUAACAUGUGGUUUUAGUGAUGAACUACUAGGCUCCCACUUCUGGUACUACUAGGCACUUGAUUCUCCAUAAACACUCUAACUUUAGGAUUGAAGUGGUUAAUAUUGAAAUAAGAUCGCUUUCAGAAUCUGAUUUCUAAUACUUAUGUGAAUAAUUCAUGCAAAAUCUGAUAUUUCUUCUGCCAACCCGCCCACCAUUAGUGUCACAAGGUAAUCUUAAUUAUCAUUUCCAUGAAACUUCAAAACUAUGAGCACAAAGUUAAUAUUUCUUUCAUUAAGAGUUUUAGUUAAAUGGCUUGAUCACGACUCUAAGUAUUAGAUAAAGUAUUGUAAUCAAGAGGCUCAUCCUCCCAUUUGUCACUAGCCUUCUAGCCAACAAGUGCUAUACUCCUUUCAACUUCAAUCAUCAUAAGAUUGCCAAGAUUGCCUAUAAUUAAAGAGUCAAUUGCUUUGAUACUAUGAAAAUAUUGGAGAGAUGCAUAUAAAGAGGAAAAACUAUGUAUCUCAAUUGUAUAUGGAUGGGUAUAUAAUGACCAUAUGGGCCUCUAAAAAUCAUUAUGGAAAUCUUUUAUGAAUGAGCAUUUGAUGCAAAAAAAAGUUUUAGUGCAAAAAAUCAUAACUUAAGAGAAAAGUAAAUCUUUAAUGUCCCAUUAACAUAUUUGUAUAGGCACAUAUUUAUUCUCCACAAAUAAAGAAUAUCUAAAUUUCAAGUGGGCUUUAUUCUUACUUUGCUAUCAGCUGCCACAACUCUUCUCUCCUCCCACUUGGCACAAUAAUGAGAAAAUUGUUAUAUCAUUCAUUAAAAUGAAAUUCAUAGCAAUAGUGUUAUAAAAUCAUAAUGUAAAGCUUGAUAAGUGGGAUAUAAACCAAAAUUGCAUGAUUCCAGUGUUUAGAGGCUACAUUUUUCAAGUUUUUAGUAUACAUUGUUUUAUUCUUGUAAUGGUUGAACUUGGAAUGCCUCUCAUAAGCCUAGUAAACACAUUUUUGCUAAUAAAGGAAAUAUACUUGCAAAAGUUAUUUUUAACAAAUAUGUAGAAGAAUUUGGCCUCUUAGACAUUGUGGAAUGUAAAUAAAAAAUUCUUCUAAUUUAUAGUUUUUAUUGGUUAUUAAGCCAAUGCUCUAACACCAUUUUCUUUGUAGAGAAAAUUGUGGAUAGAAUUUGCAAAAAGUUUAUGUUAGCUAAAUAUAAGAAAUAGUGGGAUAGAAGGAAUCUAGAAAAGUAGUUUAACAAGAAACCUUUCUAAGUUGCAAUGGCAAUUGUGAAGGAUUAUGAUUUAGAGCAAUUUUUGUGGAUGUAAUGCUAGUAAAACUUUUUAUAGCUUUAUUUUUUCUAAAUUUUCUUAUAGAAAAGCUUAUUGCAUAUUCAAAGCAUUUAUUUACAUAUUAAAAUCUUUUAUGCUUGACUAAAACUCUUUUAAUGAUUGUGGCUAGGAAGAAUCUAAGCAUUCUCCACAAAUAUAAGUGUUCCAUUUUGGAUUGUACUUUCGAAAUAAAAAUAAUUUUCUUAUUCUUGUAUGAUUUAAUGGCCCCCUUUGUCAUGAAAGACUCUUCUGUAAGGAACUAACUCCCCAAGGUGUCGUACGCUAAAGGAUCCUCGAAAGCAUGACUGAAAUGAUAAAGAGUUCAUCGGAUGGGACCAAGUCCGAGAUCGUGUCCAAGACUGACUCUGAGACCGAGUUUAAGAUAGAGUCCGAGAUUGAGUCCGAGGCCGACUCCGAGACCAAGUUCGAAACUGAGUUUGAGACCGAGUCCGAGAUCUGAGAAUGGGUCUGAGACCGAGUUUGAGUUCGAGUUUGAGGUCGAGUCUAAGAUUGGGUCCGAGGUCGGGUCCAAGACUAAGUCCGAAGUCAGGUCCGAGAUCGAGUCCAAGAUUGAGUUCGAGAUCGAGUCCAAGUACUAAUAUGUGUCAAGGGGUGAAAGCCCAAAGCGUGCGUCUCCCAAGGGCGGGGGGGGGGGGGGGGGGGGGUUUAAAUAAUUUUCCCAAGUCAUUUAGGCUUUUAGUUUGGUUCCGGGGGCCCAAAAAACCGGCUUGAACGAAAGUUUCCGGGUUGGCUCCCCACUUAAUNNNNNNNNNNNNNNNNNNNNNNNNNNNNNNNNNNNNNNNNNNNNNNNNNNNNNNNNNNNNNNNNNNNNNNNNNNNNNNNNNNNNNNNNNNNNNNNNNNNNNNNNNNNNNNNNNNNNNNNNNNNNNNNNNNNNNNNNNNNNNNNNNNNNNNNNNNNNNNNNNNNNNNNNNNNNNNNNNNNNNNNNNNNNNNNNNNNNNNNNNNNNNNNNNNNNNNNNNNNNNNNNNNNNNNNNNNNNNNNNNNNNNNNNNNNNNNNNNNNNNNNNNNNNNNNNNNNNNNNNNNNNNNNNNNNNNNNNNNNNNNNNNNNNNNNNNNNNNNNNNNNNNNNNNNNNNNNNNNNNNNNNNNNNNNNNNNNNNNNNNNNNNNNNNNNNNNNNNNNNNNNNNNNNNNNNNNNNNNNNNNNNNNNNNNNNNNNNNNNNNNNNNNNNNNNNNNNNNNNNNNNNNNNNNNNNNNNNNNNNNNNNNNNNNNNNNNNNNNNNNNNNNNNNNNNNNNNNNNNNNNNNNNNNNNNNNNNNNNNNNNNNNNNNNNNNNNNNNNNNNNNNNNNNNNNNNNNNNNNNNNNNNNNNNNNNNNNNNNNNNNNNNNNNNNNNNNNNNNNNNNNNNNNNNNNNNNNNNNNNNNNNNNNNNNNNAAAGAGGAGUCUGGUGGUGAGGUUUGGUCGUCCAAGGCUCGAUUGGAUGUUCUAGAAAAGCAGACUAUAACCAUUUAAGAAUAUGUUAAUGGAUUUAUGGCAAAGAGGAUACUUAUCACAGACAUAGGGGAUACAGAUGCGUUCCAUGCCUUCAUAUCAGGCUUGCAAACUUGGGCUCGCGGUGAGGUGAUGUGUUGGAUCCCGACCAACUACAAGGAAGCAUUGGAUGCGGCCAUCAAAGUGCAUUUCAACGAUAACCUGCAAAAGGGGAAUACGACGAGGUCGAGGUCUACGUUUAGCAAAGGGGCCAAACCAAGAGGAACAUAUAGCAAAGGGAAAUUCAAGAAGAGUUUCUCUAAGAAUGAGUCCUUAGGGUUCCGGAAAGGUAGAUCCAGUGGCUAGCAAUCAAGUAUGUGGGGGAGUUAAGCAAAAAGAGACAAACCCAGGGAAUGUCCCUACCCGAAAAAGGCCAGAGCCAAUAUGGCCAUUAAGUCGAGUGAAAUCCAAACUAAGGUAUGUGAUCCAAUCCUUAGCUCAAAGUUACUCAUUACAUGAGCAACUUUGGUAGAGAGUCGUUCACGACAUUUACUAACCCUUCGAGGGAAGUUCAAAGGUAGCUUUGUUAAGAUGCUUAUUGACAUAGGUGCUUUGGAUAAUUUUGUGGCUAUAGACAUAGUCUAGCAAGCCAAACUAACGAUGUAGCGGCUGGAACCAAGGACGAUAGAGUUUGUUCAAGGUAGCCAAAGCACCGAUGAGAUACUUCGACAAACAAAAGUUGAAGUAGGGACAUGGAAAGUAGACAUGGAUUUCACUGUGUUGGACAUAACGGGAUUUAACGUAAUCUUUGGAAUAGACUGGUUCAAUCAGUUCGUAAUAGCCCUGCAUGGACAAGGGAGGAACCUUGUGGUACUAGUGAAUGCCUGGGGAGAACGAUCUAGGGUGGAGGCCUAAGAUCUAAAGGUAGGGCAAUGUAAGGCCAAAGACUCUUACUUAAACUUAGUGUCCACGAGAGGAAAACUCACUAAAGGAACCAAGGCAACAUUUUUAUGCUUACUCUCGGUGAAGAGUGACAAAAAGACAGGAACGAAAGAAGUACCUUUAGUGAUCCAGCGGAUGUUAGCCCAAUUCUAGGAUACCAUGCCAGAGGAGCCACCGACAGAGUUGCCCCCCACCCGACCGAUAAAACACAAGAUUGAGCUGGUCGAGGGUGCUAAGGUGGUGGUUCGUCCCCCCUAUCAUUUGAGAGAAAAAUAACUCAAGGAGCUCAAGUGCCAACUAGAAGAGUUAGUUGACAAAGGGUAUGUUAGGUUGAGCGAGUCGUUGUAUGGGGUGCCAGUGUUAUUUGUGAAAAAGAAAGAUAAAUCUAUGCGCAUGUGCAUAGACUACCAGUUGCUUAACAAGUAUACAAAGAAGAACAAGUACCCUUUGCCAAGGAUUGAGGACCUGUUCAAUAGGUUGGGAAAGGCAAAAUAUUUCUCGAGGAUUGACCUAAGGUCAGGAUACUACCAGAUCAGGGUAGCAGAGGAAGAUAUCAAGAAGACAACCUGUCAAACAAAGUAUGGGAGCUUUGAGUUUCUAGUGAUGCCCUUUGGGUUGUGCAAUGCGUCAGUAACGUUUUCGGCACUGAUGAACCAUAUCUUUAUACCCUAUCUGGAUCAAUUCAUUGUCGUUUAUAUUGAUGACAUCCUGAUCUAUAACAAGAUGCUAGAGGAACAUGUCAAACACUUGACAAAGGUGUUUGAGAAACUAAGGGAACACAAACUAUAUGCUAAAGAGAGCAAAUGCGACUUUGCUCAACAAUAGGUAAAGUUUCUUGGGCAUGUGGUGGGCCAAGACGGGCUCAAAGUGGACCCUAAGAAGGUCCAAGCGAUCCAAGAAUGGGAGCGACCAUCGAAUGUACAUGAGUUGAGGGCAUUCAUGGGGCUAUGCAACUACUACCGAAAGUUUAUCAGACACUAUUCGAGAGUACCCUUACCCUUAACGAACCAAAUGGGUAAAGGGAAGAUGGUAUGAACAGCAGAAUGCGAGGCGGCAUUUGUCCACCUCAAAGGGAAGUUGAGGAAGACACUUAUGUUAGUGUUAUUUGACUUUGGUAAGGACUUUGAGGUAGAAAUGGAUGCUUCAGACUUUGCAUUGGGCUCAGUUUUGAAGCAAGACAACCAUCCAGUGGUGUUCUUUUUGAAGAAGUUGAACAAGGCUCAGCAAAAAUGGCCUGCCCACGAGAAGGAAUUAUUUGCGGUGGUCAAGGCACUCAAGGAGUGGCGACACUACCUUGGGAGGCACUUUAAAGUUUACACAGAUAAUGUGGCAACAAAACACUUCUUGUCACAACCUGAUCUAAGAGGGAAAUAAAGUCGGUGGGCCAAUGCUUUGGUUGAGUUUGAUUGUAAGAUUCUGUAUAAACCUAAGAAGAGCAAUAUCGUGGCAAAUGCUCUAAGUCAAAAAACAAGCUUGAAGUUAGCGAUAUCUAGCGUGAUAGCAACCUUUUGGUCUAGCACAAGAAGUGUUGUUGAAGAACCAAGAGGCGCGAGAAGCUCACCAGAGAGGUGAGUUGCCAACAUAAGAGAAAACAGGUUAUGUGGAACGCAAUGGACUUAUCUAUUAUAAAUAAACGAAAGUGUAUAUUCCUAAAGGGGAAUUAAGGAAGGUAGCCUUAGAAGAGUGUUAUGAUGGACCUCUUGCGGGAUACGGCAGAGUGCUCAAGAUGAUGGGCUUACUCAAGUGGAAGUAUCACUGGCCAGAUAUGGCUAAUGACGUCCAAGACUUUGUAAAGUCAUGUCCAACAUGUCAGCAAGUCAAAGCCAUGACUAAGGCUAGUGGGGGCUUGUUACAAAGCAUCCCAAUUCCAGAUCAGCCAUGGAAAUGUCUUACAAUGGACUUCAUCACGGGACUCCCCCCAAGCGAGGGUUCGAUGCGAUAUUCGUGGUGGUGGACCGAUUUUCAAAGAUGGCACAUUUCAUACCCACCACCACGGAAGUGGAUGCGGAAGGUGUAGCAAAGCUAUUCUUCGAACAAGUGGUUCGAGUGCGGGGAAGGCCAGAAGAGAUCAUCUCAGACCGAGAUAAGAUCCUCAAGGAUGAGUCUAUGGGAAGUCAUCAAUGGGUGAGCUAUUGAAGGUCCUGUGGAACUCGGCGUGGCCGAGUAUCAUGGAGAGUUACCUACAGUGGAGGCAUUCACGGCAGAAAGACUCAACAUUUGGAAUCUGGGCUCAACAAAAGCAAACCAAGUACGCGAACCAGAAGCGUCGGGAUGUAGAGUUCCAAGCUAGGGAGAAGGUGUGGCUGAACACCAAGAACCUCAGGCUACCAAGUGGGAUCAGUCAGAAGUUGACCCAAAGGUAAAAAUGCAUGUAUUCUUGUAAAUGAAUUGAUCUUGAGUUCCUUAAGCAAGUUCGCAGGGCCUUACAAGAUUGAGGUAUGAAUCGGUAAAGUGGCUUACUGUCUUCGACUUCCUCGAGAGAUGGGGAAGAUGCACCUAGUGUUCCACGUGAACUUACUUAAGCUGUACUUUGAGGAUCUGCUUCGCAAGGACUAAGUAAGACCUUUACAUGAGGUUAUCCAAGGGGAAGAGGAAUACGAAGUCGAGGCCAUCCUCAAUGCGCACAAGAGCAAGCGACAAGGACGUGAGGUGAGAGAGUUCCAUAUGAAGUGGAAAGGAUUUCCACACUGCGAAGCAACAUGGGAACCGGAGGAGAACCUAGUGAACGCAUAAGAUCUAAUGGAGGAAUUUCUGCAAGACAAAACUUUAUGUACUUAUACAAAGUUUAAUUAAAGUAUCAAUUUGUGAAGUUGAGCAAUGGCAUAUGUUGGGACUCGAAGGCAUGCCGAAGGUAAGCUAAUUAGCAUGGGUUAGCUAGGUCGACCAGGUGUAAGCACUAUGCCCGACUCCCCACGGGGAUGUCCAAUCCGUAGACGUAUUCUACGGAGGUUGGGUUCGAGUCCCAACCCCCUAGUAAAGCAAGGCUGGGUUCAAGUCCCGACCCCAUACUAGGGCAUGGUGAGGUGAGGGGUAUAGGGACAUCUAUAUUCCAUUGUCAUGGGCUCUUGGCCGGGGAGGCUAACAUAGGCACACUGCUAAGUGGGGGGAUGCCCCCAGAGACAUGGUCAACAAGUUGUAGGGUUUAAAAAGAGACGUUCGAUGUCGGCAUCGAACUUCUUCUAUGGGUGGUGGAGUUGUAAAGAACCAACUCCCUGAGGUGUUAUAGGCUAAAGGAUCCCCGAAAGCAUGACCAAAAUAAUAAAGAGUUCAUCAGAUGGGACUGAGUCCGAGAUCGAAUCCAAGACCGACUUUGAGACCGAGUUCGAAAUAGAGUCCGAGAUCAAGUCCGAAGUUCGAGACCGAGUUCGAAACCGAGUUCAAGACUGAGUCCGAGAUCCGAGAAUGGGUUCAAGACCGAGUCCGAGUUCGAGUCCGAGGUCGAGUCCGAGAUCGGGUCCGAGGUCGAGUCCGAGAUUUAUUUCGAGACCAAGUCCGAAGUCAGGUCCAAAAUCGAGUCUGAGACUGAGUCUGAGUACUAAUACAGGUCAAGGGGUGAAAGCCCAAAGUGUGCGUCUCCCCGGGGGGGCUGCAGGGGUUCCAAAAGUAUAGUAGGGAUAGUGAAGUAAUUUUUGUAGAUGUAGUGCUAGUAAAACUUUUUAUAGCUUUAUUUUUUAUAAAUUUUCUUAUAGAAAAGCUUAUUGCAUAUUCAAAUCAUUUAUUUAUAUAUUAAAAUCUUUUACGCUUGACUGAAACUCUUUUAAUGAUUGUGGGGGAUGAGAUCCAAAAACCUAAGCAUUCUCCACAAAUAUAAGUGCUCCAUUUUUUAUUGUACUUUCAAAAUAAAAAUAAUUUUCUUAUUCUUUUAUGAUUUAAUGGCCCACUUUGUCAUCAAAGACUCUCCCUAAGUUUAAACUUCCAAGUUAAUCCUUAACAUUUUACAUUGAUAAUUCGAUAUUAUAAAAUAAUAUUUUAUCUUUAUUAGCUUUCAAACCAAUAUUAUAAGAUGGGGACUUAACCGUCUCAACUAAGUCACUGUAAGUCAUGUCAUCAAAUAGACUUAUGUUUGUUAAAAAGAAUGCUCAGUUAAACAUUGAUUAUUGCAUAAAUCUUAAAAAGAGUAAUUAUGGGUUUUUUUUUUGUCUAGGCUAAUUUCUAAGAGGAUAAAAUUCUAUAUUAAUAAAUCACAAUCAUCAACAAAUGUGAAUUACUUAGGAAAGAAAAUAAACACUCUUGCCAUUUUCUUUCUAGAAUUAAGUGAAGGUCUAGAAUAAUUAUAUAUUGUUGUUUUAGGACUAGAAACUAUAACAACUUUUUGUAAAUAUUGUAGGAUGGUUUUUGUUGCUUCUCUUUUUUUUAGUGUCAUUAUUUUAUGAGGAUGUGGUUCUUUUAAUCCAAUUUGAAAAACAAUAUGACAUGGAAAACUUAUCCCAGUUUUACAUGCUUAUAUUACAGUUAUAUAUUUUCUUUUAUAUGGAAAAUUGGAGUGUAAAAUAUACCCUUUAUGGCCACUGUCAAGAUCACCAUACCUAUGAUUGCAUCUGCAGCCAUGAUUUAUAUUACCAUGCCUCCCAUAAUGAUUGCAACCAUCACAAAUUGGAACUAUAUACUAACUCGAGUGGGAUUUACUUCUUUAUCAUUUUAAAAAUUGUAACUUACGGCUAUAAGCAAAUGCAUAAUUUUCAUUGUGGAAAUGAUUUUGGCAAGAUUAUAACUCAAGGUAAAUGUAAAUAUGGCAAAGGUUAGUGUAAUAAAAUUAUAACUCAAGGUUAUGGGGUAGGGCAUUAAAUUAGCCAUCAUCCUAAAUUCAUAAUGUUCAAAAAUGGAUCUUCUCAAGUUUGUGAGAACCUAGUCAUUGAUUAUAUAUAGGAAAAAAAUAUCUAACUCAGUGAGGGAAGUUUAUGUUAAAUGAUAGGAUGCUAAAAAAAUUUAUACUAGGAAGUUUAAUAGAUCUUUUCUAUGUAGUGAUAAUGUAAAAAAUAAAUAUCUCCUCAAACAAAAUACUUCCUCCAACUUAUCAAGAAUUGUAAAAUCCAUACCCAUCUCCACAAAAUUUUAAAUGAAAUUGAAAAGUUGGUGAGUGCAACAUAUAAGGAUGAAACAUGUUUCAUUUCCUUUGAAGACAUUAUUGACAAAGUGGUAAAACUUCAUCUAGUGCUAAAGUGAUUUUAGUUAUUGAUUUUGAAUGUCUACUUUAAUACCUUUAAUUAGAAUUUGAAUAAUAUAUGGGGUUGUUACAACAAACUUUAUUUUGCAUAGACAAUGGUAAAUCGAGCUCACUUAAAAGUAAAGGAGUUAGAAUCAAAUUAAGAGUUUUACAUAAAAGUGUUAGCUUUUAUAAAAGAUAUUAAGUUAUACAGUUAAAAUAAAGGUUUAAAAGAAAGGAUUAACAUCCAUUUAUCAAAGGUUGUAAUUACUUAUUUACUUUUCUAAGUUAGAGUCAAAAACAUUAAAUACCAUAGUGGGAUUAUUAAAUCAAUUAAAGUUGUAAAAAAGGUUUAGCUCAUCUCUAAACCUUUUAAACUUUCACCUACAUUCCACAAUUAUGCUUAUGCUCAAGAGGCACUUCUCGAUCUCAAGAGAGGUGAUGGAGAGCAAAAUAACCAAAGACUUCCAUACAAGCUUUCAAAGUUUAUACUUUGGAAGUAGCAAAUGAUUUAAAUGUUUUCUUCUCUAAUACUUUACUUCUUAUAUCACAGUAGUUAAAUAAAUGAUAAUGGUAAAAAUGUAUGUCACUAUUCAUAGUAAAUUCCUUUUUGACUUCUUCUUUCAUUUAUCAUUUUGAGAUAACACUUUAAGAUUGUUUGUGCAACUGAAAUGAAUCUUAGCUUUAUUUAUGGAUGUAAGGAUAAUUUUUGCUAUGGUAAUGAUUUUCGUAACUAGUGUGACAAGAUUGCAACUAAGGGUAGAUAUGAGUGUGGCAAAGGUUGGUGGGGUAGGAUUAUAGCUCAAGGUGGUGCGGAAGGGCAUGAAGUUGACCACCAUCAUAAUUUUUUUAUGUUCAAGGAUAGAUUUUUCAAUUUUGGAAUUCCAAAUAUAUAAUAGAGAUAUAUCAUAUAUCAUUUACACAAACUGGCAUUCAAUUUUGGAAUUCCAAAUAUAUAAUAGAGAUAUAUUAUAUAUCAUUUACACAAACUGGGGAAUGCCAUGUUGAGUGAAGUCAAAAAAUAACUCAAUACCAUGCCUUAAAGCCUUUUGCUUUCUCAUGACUCUACCGUUCAAAUAUACAAGAAAAACUACCAAUUACACAUUAUGUUAUUGUAAAAGAAACAAAAGGGAAUUUUUGUGUAUUAUGAAAUUUUCAAGUCAUUUUCAAAUUCGAUUAAAGACAUUAAUGCAGUUCAAAAAAAUUUCAAUCCAUUUUUUUUUCUUUCCAAUUAUUUAUUUCUCUCCUCAAAUGAUUCGUAGAUGAUAGAAAUAGAGUUUUAAUCAAGCUAAAAAUAUAAGAUUUCUCUGAAGUUCUUUAAUUUUAUUUUUGAUUUAUAAAUCUACUCCACAUGGUAUUCUUUGAGGAAUGUACAAAACAUUGUCAAACAUUAUGAAAAUCUAAAGGUUAUGCUUUCAAAUAAUUUUUUUUCCAACUAUUAUUUUUAUCAUGCUAAUGGUAUUUUUCAAGAAAUGGGUGAUCUUGCAAAUCUUACACUAUUUUAAUUGUUGCAUAAUACAAUUUGCAUUAAUUUUAGAUUGAAAAUUUAUGAUCAAAUAUUCUUCUCUCAAAAUCUUUCAAGGAUGGAGCUAACAUUCAUGGAUACUAUGAAUGGCUUUCAAGGCAUGAUUUAGUCUCAUUUACAUUGACUUAAAAUUAAUAAAAAUGGGAUUAAGAUAAGCUAUUAAAAGUAAAUUAAAAGAGAUUAUUGUUUUUAUGAUUGCUAAGAUAUAAUCAUUACUUUAUUUGUAUCAUAAAUAAAACAACUAGCAUACAUGUGAAAUAUACUUUGCAAGGUGGUUAGUUUUACAUAUGUCUUACAUAUAUAUAUAUAUAUAUAUAUAUAUAUAUAUAUAUGUGUGUGUGUGUGUGUGUGUGAGGGCCAAGUGUACGGCUACGAUGCCGUAUACUAAUAUUAGCGUAGUGGAUUUUGGUAGCCGUCGGAUUGGUUUCAAUCCGGACCACUCGCUCCUGUAUAUAAGCUAGGGUUUUUGAAUUAAUUGAUAUGCACAUUUCUGUAUUCCCUUUCCAUAUUCCAUGCAUUCACAUUGGUGGAGAUGAGGGGCACCUUUGAUUGUCCCUGGGGAGUGCUUGGAUUUGGGAUUUCGGUUUAGAUCUAGCUUUUGCAUUGUCUAGAUCUAGCUUUUUCCAUUUCCUUUCUUUUGUUCUUUCCUUUCAGGAUUUUGGUUUAGAUCUAGCUUUUUGCAUUGUCUAGAUCUACCAUUUCUUUCUAGCUUUUUGUCAUUUCUCUUCUUUUGCUCUUUCUUUCUCAUUCAUUUUCAUGGCCGAUCCGCAAUCUCCUCCUUUGACUCUAGAGCAGCAGUUGGUUCAAUUGCUUGAUGCUAUGCACCUGCAAUUGAACAACCAAACUCAGUUGAUGGCGGCGUUCACGGCACAUGGUACAACUCCUCCUGAUUUUGGUGCCAAUCCUCGCGUUCGGCCGGAGUUCUUUCGUGGGAAUCCUGGGGAUGAUGUGUACCAUUGGUUCGAUCACUUUACGGUGAUUGCCACAUAUCAUUCUUGGGAUGAUGCUCGGCGUUUGCAUGAGUUCCCCACAUGUCUUCAAGGGACGGCAUUGCAGUGGUACAAUGGAUUGAGCGCAGCUACUCGUGGCGAUUGGAGUGUUCUUCCGGACGUCUUCAAACGCGCCUUCGGACACGCCGACGAUUGUGAUGAUGCAUUCCAACAAUUGCAUCGUCUUCGCCAAGGGCCAUCUGAGUCGGUGAUGCAAUUUGGCAUUCGUUUCUGAAGUCUUUUGCUUCGUGCGGAGCCAAAUAUGUCGGAGCGGAUCAAGCUAGGAAUGCUGUGGCCAGCACUUCGUCAAGAUCUUGUCGGACUUGUGCAUGCACUUGCUCCUGCCACUCUUGACGAUGCUCUUUGCUUGGCACAACGUUAUGAGACGUCGCCUCUUCCACUUCUUGCUACACGUCCUUCAGCUCCAGUUCCUAUGAGUGAUGGUCCUGUUCCCAUGGAGGUUGAUGCUGCUGCUACUCGAGUCCAAGGACAAGGGCGAGGACGUGGUCGUGGCCGUGACAUUCGUUGCUGGGCGUGUGAUGAAGUUGGUCAUACUUAUCGGCGUUGUCGGCGCUUUCCGGAUUGGCGACCUCCAUUUCCUGGGUGGAGACCUUGGCGUCAGCAACGUCCCGUUGGUGCUGCUGCGGUGGAAGGUUUGGAUACCGAGGUGCAUUUGGGAAACGAGGAGUCGCGCGAGUAAUGGAGGGACCUUGCGCGAAUAAGUUAGUGACCCCUCCAUCUUUCUUUCGGGAGUAUCAUCAAGGGGUUCACUCGGCACCGGUUCAUCCAGUGUUUACUUUCCAAGCUCGUUUUUAUAACAAGAGGUCUCCUAUUCUUCUCUCCGUGUUGGUUGAUACAGGUUCGAGUUUAUCUUCUAUUGCUCGACCUGUUGCCACACGUUGUCGUCUACACUUGCGUCGUGCGGCGGAUCCAGUUUUCAUUCUUUAUGGCAACGGCCGUACACAUGCAUGUGCACAAGAUGAGGCGGACCUGGUUGUGCGUGUGGGUGAUCUCGAGCUUGAGUUGCAGUCGUUGCGGGUGGUGCCGAGUCAAGCUUUUGACCUCAUUCUUGGUAUGGAUUGGUUGCAGCACAAUCAUGCCAAGUGUGACUUUGAGGCUUUUCCCCCUUGUCUCAUACUUCCUUAUGUUUCAUCCAUUCCUCUCACUUCUGUACCUCUUCGUCCCUCUACUUCUACCUCUGCUUCCAUUACUUUUGUUCCCCCAUUAUUUCCUCUUGUGUUUCCAUCUUGUUCUGCUCUUCCCUUUUCCGAUCCCUCCGAUGAUCUUUGUGUUGCAGCUGUUGACCAGCUCAUGAAGGAGUAUUCUGAUCUCUUUGAAUUUGACCUAUCGUCUGGGGCCAAGAUUGCCACACGUUAUCCCAUUCCAACCGGGGAUGCUCGUCCAAUCAAGGUUCCUAUUCGUCGUCGGUCACCCAAGGAGAUCAAGAUUUUACGUGCAAACGUCAAGGAGAUGUUGGAGAAGGGUGUUAUUCGGAAGUCGCGGAGUCCUUGGGCAUGUGAACCUCAUCUUGUGACGAAGCUUGAUGGGAGUAUUCGUUUCUGCAUCGACUAUCGUCCGUUAAAUGAAGUGACGAUCCCGGACGUGUACCCUCUUCCUCACACUGCUGAUCUCUUGGAUCGUCUGGGGCGAAGUCGUUGGUUCACCAAGCUAGAUCUUGCUUCUGGGUAUUGGCAAGUACCGAUGGCUGAAGACGAUAUUCCUAAGACUGCUUUUCGUACACCAUUUGGUUUGUACGAGUUUUUGGUGAUGCCGUUUGGUUUGAACAAUGCUCCAGCAACUUUUCAGCGAAUGAUGGACGAGGUUCUUUGCGAUAUGCCGGAGGUGACGGCUGACUUCAUUGAUGAUGUCUUGAUCCACUCGGAGGGGACAUGGGAGGAGCAUGUUCGUGAUGUUUGUAAAGUGUUGGAUCGGCUACGCGACGUUGGUUUAAAGCUGAAGCGGUCGAAGUGCGUGUUUGGGUGCAAGGACACAACUUAUCUUGGGUACCGUAUUUCUCGUGAGGGUUUGCAAGUUGAUCCUGACAAACUUGUGGCUGUUCUAAAGUUCCCUACUCCGAAGUGUGUGAAUGAUGUGCAACGCUUUUUGGGUAAGGUGCAGUAUCUCGGUCGUUUUGUGGAUCAUCUUUCCGAUUGCACUUUACCAUUGCGAGCGUUGCUGAAGUCAUCAACGUCAUCUUUCAUCUGGUCUCCCGAUUGUGAGCGGGCGUUCGUGAAUCUCAAAGAGCUAUUGACGACUCUUCCGGUUUUGGCAUAUCCUGACUACACUCGACCUUUUAUUUUGCGCGUGGAUGCUUCUGACAUUGGUCUUGGAGGUGUGUUGAUGCAAGAGAGCUCGAGUGUGCCUGGUCAGCGCCAUCCUAUUGCAUAUAUAAGCCGUACAUUACAACCAGCGGAGAUGAACUACUCCACGACGGAGAAGGAGUGUUUAGCAGCAGUCUGGGGUUUCGAGAAACUUCAUGCCUAUCUACAUGGUUCUCGGACGUUACUUGAAGGUGACCAUGCUGCUGUUACUUCAUUAUUGAAGCGGAAGAACCUGGUUGGUCGUACGGCUCGAUGGGCUUUGAAGCUUCAGAUAUAUGAUUUCGAUGUUGUUCAUCGCCCAGGGAGUUCUAUGGCUGAUGCUGAUGCCCUUUCUCGAGCUCCUCUUCCUUCUCCACUCACUUCUCAUGUUUCUGACGAACCUGUUGUUCCAGCAUCUGUGGAUUUUCUAGAUGAGGAUUCUGUGCCGUCGGCGGUUGCUGUCCUUGACGUUCAGUGUCCACAGGGCGUAGAGCAAGAUCUACCUUCUCUGGAUGAGGUUCGCGAGGCUCAAAAGAUUGAGCCGUGGAUUCGAAGGCUUCGAGAUGGGUUUGAGAAUCCUGCAUCACUUGCUGAUGACUUGCCUUUUCGGCAUUUACAUUCUCAAUAUCGCCUUGAAGAUGGCCUUCUUUAUUUUGUGGGGACGGAUCCUGAUGCUCAUUUACGGCUGGUGGUGCCUUCGGUUUAUUCCGCGGUUUUUCCAUGCCUACCAUGAUUCUCCUAUUCUAGGUGGGCAUAUGGGACACCGUCGUGUCACCGAGAAGUUGCGCAGAUCUUUCUAUUGGCCAGAGAUGCAACGUGAUAUUAUCCGGUAUGUGCGUAGCUGCGUUUGGUGCCAAGCUCGUAAUACUCCCCCUUGUGCUGCGGAAGGACGGUUGGAGUCAAUUGCAGUUUCUCGUCCGUUUGAGUUGGUGGCGUUUGAUCUUAUGGGACCUUUUCCGCGAUCGACUACUGGCAAUGAGUAUGUUAUUAUUGCUUCUGACUACUUGACUCGUUGGGUGGAAGUUGGUGCUCUUGCCAGUGCCUCUGCAACUGCUGUUGGAUACUUCCUCCUCAAUCGAGUGGUGUUCCAGCAUUCUUGUCCAGAACGGAUUCUUUCGGAUAAUGGUCCUGCAUUUAUGGCUGAGGUAUUUCAUGUUUUGACAUCUCGGUUGGGGAUACGCCACACUUUUAUGAGUGCUUAUCAUCCACAAUCAGACGGUCUGGUGGAACGGCUCGUUCGGACAUUCAAAGGGAUGAUUGCGAAGUAUGUGAACUUUCAACAUUCGGAUUGGGAUGGUUAUUUGCCGUCUCUUCGGUAUGCUUAUGUCACAGGGGUGCAGAGUUCUGUUGGUUCUUCACCAUAUAAACUUCUAUAUGGUCAUGAUCCAAUAUUACCAACAGAGCUAGGUUUACCUUCGCGAUUGCCACGAGCUCUUAAUGCUAGGUCAUGGGAUCAAUAUUUGACAAGCAUUCUUCCACUUGUCCGAGCAGAGUCUGCUGAACACUUAGGCCGCGUACAAGUGGGACAACAACGGCGCUACAAUUCCCAUCAUCGUCCACCAGCGGAGUACAAAGUGGAUGAUUUGGUGUUAGUCCGUUUUCCCCAUCUUACGGUACGUGGUUUAUCUAAGGGGCUCCUUGCGUAGUGGAAAGGACCGUAUCGGGUGUUGCGGCAAGUUGGACCACAAGUUUAUGAGGUUCGGCAUGACGUUCAGCAGGCUGAUCCUCCGGAGAUUGUGCAUGUGCAACGGUUAAAACGCUUCAUACAGAGGGAUCAGGAGCAGUUAAUACCGUCUACAGAUCCACCGAUGCCUCCUCCUGACGUUCCUCCAGAUCCCGGCCCAUCUACAAGAGAACCCUGACGGCCUUCCAUUAUUCCGAGAGGAGGGGAUGAUGUGAGGGCCAAGUGUACGGCUACGAUGCCGUAUACUAAUAUUAGCAUAGUGGAUUUUGGUAGCCGUCGGAUUGGUUUCAAUCCGGACCACUCGCUCCUAUAUAUAAGCUAGGGUUUUUGGGUUAAUUGAUAUGCACAUUUCUGUAUUCCCUUUCCAUAUUCCAUGCACUCACAUUGUAUGUAUAUCUAUUUUAAUAAUAAUCAAAUCAAAUAAAAAACAUUUAAGACAAAGUUACAGUUAGAGAUUUCCACUCCUCUAGCAUAUUUCAACGCUACCAUCGUUAAACUUUCGAGUGGCCUCAAGCGCACACCUUCUCUGGUUCAUGAGCUGGGUCUUCAUUUUACUCGCCAUGCAGUUCUGAUGCUUUUGCUGUUUUGCAGUCCCCUUGGAAACCACGGCGUUGCUUGGAGCAAAGUUGAACACUUGGUGCAGGAGAUCGUUUUCCUGCAAGUGCCUCUGAAAGCCUUCGCCCAGGAGCCUUCGGAAGGCAUUGAGCUGCACGGUUUGGCUCCACGUACCGAUCUUGAGCGAGUCACCAUGCUUGAGCUUGACACAAAGUCUCAUGACACGCACCACCUUGGAGAGUCGCCACCAUGUCCCUGAAGCUGCUCCUCUGCUCGGAUCUUUCUUUCUUCGUCUGGCCCUUCCGGCUGGAAGAGGCAGCCAGCGCUUUCAUCUGAUCCACCACCUGCAGCUCCAUUGCCGUUGCUCCACCUUCGCCAAGAGCUUGCUCCUCCAACAGGUGGAUGCUGCCAACUUCGAAGAGAAGAGCAAUGGCUUCCCCGGCAGCCUUGCAAACACCUACAUCUGGAUCCUCGAGCAAACAGGACAGAGCUCCCAACACACUAGGGAGCUGGAGGGCCAUGACUCUCUUGGAACUCAACGUAGAAAGCAGCAAACUCCAGGCCGUGAUGGCGGCCGCCUUGACUGGAGGUGUGGGUUUGCUCGUACCAAGAGUUUGAUCUGCGUGAGCACUGCCUUUGUGGAUGACAAUCUGCCACAGGACCUCCAUCGCGCUUGCCUCCUCCAAGUCCACGCCACCAACGAAAGCCAACAUCCCGAGAGCCUCAAUCGCUGAAACCCUCGCGGCAGAAUCGCGUCCGAGCUUGGAAAUCUUGGAGAGAUGAGGGAAGCUAGCCUCGAAUACGUGCUCGGCCACUUUCCCUGCCCCCGCGGUGAUGGAAACCAUGGCCAGAGCACGCCCCGCAAGAGCAGCCUCUGUCGAAGAACUCUGCUUGAUUGACGACAGGAUUUGAUGAGUCAACGUUUCAUACUUGUCGUCGACGAAGUGGGUCAUCACCCUCGCCACGAAAGCGUCGAUCAUGCCCUUCAAGCCGGCCUCUCGGGUGCUGGAUCGCUUCUCGUACAAACAAUCCAAGCUUGCCUCCAAGUCCAAGAGUGUGGACGAAGAGUCGUCGUCCAUAUGCUCCGUGUCACACUCGUGGUGUUGUUUGAGUUUGUUCUCCUUGUCUUCGGCAUGCCUCUUGCACUUCUUGGACAAUCUCUUUGACGAUCGCACCUUAACGCACUCCAUCGCCCGUUUGCUGACUGGGAGAAUGAGAAAGCCCUAGUUCUUUGCGAUCUUUUAUACUCGCAGAGGGCGAGGCUUAAUAUUACUUUUGAACUUCACCUGGAGAAAGAUAGCAAAGAUGAGAAAAAACGAAAGAGUUGCUGAUCACACGUUAAACAAGGGCAAUCUUGCUAGACAAGGGGAAAACUAGGUUAACCAUCUGGCCAUGAAUAUUCCUUACUUUAUUCUAUCUAUAAAGAGGAAUCGAACCCGAGAGCUGUGGUUUGGGAAACCAAAUCCUCAACCGAUUGGUCUAAGCUUUUUUAGUGAGCUAGCAAACCAGAACUAGGGCUACUUAUUGAGCAAAAAACUUUAGCAUAAAGUCCUUGUUGGUUGGACUCUUCGGCAUCGAACCCGGGUCUUCUACAACGGUUUAGAUAGCCUUGAUCUCAGCAACCGGGCUCCGAUAAUAAAAUAACGUACCAUGUACUUAAACCAUAUUGGCAGGGUGUGUUUACGUUUUGGUCGAUUGCCUCAUUACUCUCAAAAGCUUACCACUAUGUUCACGCGGUCAAUCAUGUGACAUUUACGUUCCUUUAUCACAUCUUCUUGCAUCUUCUCUUGGUGGAGGCAAAGCAAGACGAACUUGCCAAAAAUCGGUCCAAUCGACAAUGAAUGUCUCGAAAUCUAGUGAUCUUUUGGAUCGUUUUGAUACAAAAUAGAAGCAAGAUCUUGGUUACCACCCGAAAGCUUAAAGGUGCAAUUAAAACCAAGAUGGGGGCUUUUUUGGGAGAGGACGACAUCUUGAAAUUGUUCACAGUCCACGCCUGCCUGCCAUUCUUCUGCCAAUCACCUUCAAGACCCCCACACUUGUGCACAACUUUCUCGCUUGCUCACUUUAAUUCUGAGCAUGUUUUUGGUUUGGGAAGUCAAGAUUGGGGGCUCUGUUUUGCUCUUAUGUCGCUGCCAUACAGAGCUGAAAGAAGAGGCGGGAAAACCUGGUGAAACUCAAGGAGAUGAAACGCGCUGAGAAGAUGAAAGACAGGUAUAACACGCAGUCACUACAAAGUCUGCUCGUUUUCCUCUCACUUGCGCUGCAGAAUGAGGAGCAGAAAGUUUCUCCCCUGGAGGGUACGAAGCUAGAGAGAAGUUGUAAACAUGCUAACGAGGCACUCAAUGUUCAGCGCUCAAGAAAGGCCAAGCUGAAAAGUAAACCGCUUGAAGAGGUCGAGUAGAAUUCUCGACAUUUUUUCAGCUUGAGAUCUUUGUAGUAUACACAAGUCGUUUUAGUUCUCUCUCUUAAGUGAUCUUAAGUUUGAUACAUUUGAAUAGUAGAGAUUUCCACUCCUCUAGCAUAUUUCAACGCUACCAUCGUUAAACUUUCGAGUGGCCUCAAGCGCACACCUUCUCUGGUUCAUGAGCUGGGUCUUCAUUUUACUCGCCAUGCAGUUCUGAUGCUUUUGCUGUUUUGCAGUCCCCUUGGAAACCACGGCGUUGCUUGGAGCAAAGUUGAACACUUGGUGCAGGAGAUCGUUUUCCUGCAAGUGCCUCUGAAAGCCUUCGCCCAGGAGCCUUCGGAAGGCAUUGAGCUGCACGGUUUGGCUCCACGUACUGAUCUUGAGCGAGUCACCGUGCUUGAGCUUGACACAAGUCUCAUGACACGCACCACCUUGGAGAGUCGCCACCAUGUCCCUGAAGCUGCUCCUCUGCUCGGAUCUUUCUUUCUUCGUCUGGCCCUUCCGGCUGGAAGAGGCAGCCAGCGCUUUCAUCUGAUCCACCACCUGCAGCUCCAUUGCCGUUGCUUCACCUUCGCCAAGAGCUUGCUCCUCCAACAGGUGGAUGCCGCCAACUUCGCAGAGAAGAGCAAUGGCUUCCCCGGCAGCCUUGCAAACACCUACAUCUGGAUCCUCGAGCAAACAGGACAGAGCUCCCAACACACUAGGGAGCUGGAGGGCCAUGACUCUCUUGGAACUCAACGUAGAAAGCAGCAAACUCCAGGCCGUGAUGGCGGCCGCCUUGACUGGAGGUGUGGGUUUGCUCGUACCAAGGGUUUGAUCUGCGUGAGCACUGCCUUUGUGGAUGACAAUCUGCCACAGGACCUCCAUCGCGCUUGCCUCCUCCAAGUCCACGCCACCAACGAAAGCCAACAUCCCGAGAGCCUCAAUCGCUGAAACCCUCGCGGCAGAAUUGCGUCCGAGCUUGGAAAUCUUGGAGAGAUGAGGGAAGCUAGCCUCGAAUACGUGCUCGGCCACUUUCCCUGCUCCCGCGGUGAUGGAAACCAUGGCCAGAGCACGCCCCGCAAGAGCAGCCUCUGUCGAAGAACUCCGCUUGAUUGACGACAGGAUUUGAUGAGUCAACGUUUCAUACUUGUCCUCCACGAAGUGGGUCAUCACCCUUGCCACCAAAGCGUCGAUCAUGCCCUUCAAGCCGGCCUCUCGGGUGCUGGAUCGCUUCUCGUACAAACAAUCCAAGAUUGCCUCCAAGUCCAAGAGUGUGGACGAAGAGUCGUCGUCCAUAUGCUCCGUGUCACACUCGUGGUGUUGUUUGAGUUUGUUUUCCUUGUCUUCGGCAUGCCUCUUGCACUUCUUGGACAAUCUCUUUGACGAUCGCACCUUAACGCACUCCAUCGCCCGUUUGCUGACUGGAAGAAUGAGAAAGCCCUAGUUCUUUGCGAUCUUUUAUACUCGCGGAGGGCAAGGCUUAAUAAAAAUGUAAUUUACUUUUGAACUUCACCUGGAGAAAGAUAGCGAAGGUGAGAAGUAAAAACUCUGCUAGGAUGUCUUUGGAAAAUACAUGACGUUUUGGUACCAUCCCCCGCAUUCUCGGCGCUUCGUCCUUGGAAGAACCCAUUUGGUCGAUAGAUUGCGCUUGAUCGUUGUGUUGAGCUGAGAGAAAGAGGAGAGAGGCGUCACCAAAGUUCUCCAUUGUCAUUUCAUAAACUUGGUGUAACUUACCUGUUGACGAAUUGGAAGUGAUCAUCAGGCAACCGAUCCUUGGUAACUCUGAAAAGCUUACCACUACCAACGUUUCUGGGCCUCCUGUUGUAUCUAAACUAAUAGGCACGAGCUGUUACAACGAGUCAAACGAAUGUCAAGAAAGACAAACCUGGACGAGCUCUCAUUCGAUUCCCCUUCGACAGGACCAGCCACUGCCAGCUUUUUUGGCACUUGGCAUCUACUAGCUCAUCGGAGAACUUCACAAACCGUCGCUUGUUUUCUCCUUGGUUGUCAAACUGCAUCAGCUUCUUGGCUUAGCGUGACGAGGCAUUGCUUGCGAGGUCAUACUCCAGCCUACACAACGGCAGCUCGCUCAACACAAAACCUCUUUGAAAUGUAAGUGACAAAGCCACCCUCGGAGUGCCAGGCAGAUGUAAAGCUUCAAGUAGCAUAGCCCAUGCCUAGCAUAAACUGAGCAAGGUCGUCAUGGUGCUCUCGUCCAAGCCUGAAAGCCCUGCAAAACAAGGACUACUAGUAAAGCAAGUACUACCAAUCAGUAAAGCAUACCAUUUCACAGCGCUAGCAGCGUAACGCCUCCGUGAGCAGCAAGACAUCGGUGGAUAAACCAUGAACCUGUCAUAUACAAAGUGCACGUCCACAAAUGAUCAUGCUCUGUUAAAAUGAAUGCAAUCCAGUUACCUGUCAACAAUCCAAAGGACGCCGUCUCAGACUCCAGGACGCUUGUGCCCCAUAGGUAAUCUGGAUACUGCUACAGCAACGCCGCCUCCCCCAUCGCAACGCCACGCCUGCAACCUUCUGGUGUCUUCCACAUCCAUUUGGCUGGCGGAGGCCGUGCAGUUGAAGGAGCAGUGUGGAAUGGAGCGAGCCGGACAACCUGUGACCAAAACAAAUUUACCAAACUUCUCAGCGUAUAACCAACGUACCUCUAACGUCUAACGUGGUCGAAGUGUCCACAGUCAACAAAGCAAUCUGCCAACUCUCUAUUCUAUCUAUAGGCACAAUAGAAGAGUCGAACCCCAGACCAAAGGUCUGGGAGACCAGGGUCCUAAGCGACUGGUCUAAGCUUUUUUAGUGAGCUAGCAAACCAGAACUAGGGGUACUUAUUGACCAAAUUUUUUUUUCAUAAAGUCCUUGUUGGUUGGACUCUUCGGCAUCGAACCCGGGUCUUCUACAGCGGUUUACCUCUACACUUACCUGAUAGCCAUCAUCUCGGCAACCGGGCUCCGAUAAUAAAAUAACAAUACCAUGUAGUUAAACCAUAUGGCAGAUUGUCUUUGGAAAAUACAUGACGUUUUGGGCGAUCGCCCACCAUCCCCCCACCAUCCCCAGCAUUCUCAAUGCUCCAGGCCGGCGCUUCGUCCUUGGAAGAACCCAUUCGCGGAUUUUGGAGUUCGGAGGAGGACGGAAUCUAUCGAGAUUGGUCGAUCUUUGCGCUUGAUCGUUGUGUGUGAGCUGAAAAAAAGAGAAGAGAGGCAUCGCCCAAGGUCUCCAUUGUCACUUCAUACACUUGCCUAAACUUCCUUUGUUACGGUUUCUCCGCUUGAGGCCACCUCUGUAACUUACUUGUUGACGAACUGGUCAGGCAACCGAUCCUUCGUAACUCUGAAAAGCUCUUCUCCAGGUGGUCGAUCUUCACAAGCUUCCCACCGAUGUGAUCUGUGGCCUCUUCUUUCGUGGCAAGAAGGCUGCAAGCUCUGAGAGCCGCCAUGAAAACUCUCCCAUCUGGGGAGAUGUGGCUUUCCUCGUCGUCUUCUUGGAUCAUCCGGAAGAAGAGAUCCAUCGCCAGCUUUGCGUCGCCACACUCGACGUAGCCGAGCAGCAGGGAAGUCCACGAAACCACAUCUCGAGCGGCCAUCCUAUCGAAAACCAUCCGAGCGUCCCACACUUCGUAUAGAUGUCCGCGAGAGCGUUGGUGAUGAAAGCGUUGGAGUAGCAGCAGCGAAGCGUGGACACUGCCCGAGAGUGGAUCUCCAUCGCCGUGCUAAGCGCCCGGACCUUGACGAGCUUAUUCCUUCCGGAGCUUCCCUCGCUGCCAAGCUCGAGCAGGCCCUGAGAGCCGCCACGAAAGCUCUCGAGUCCGGCGAUGGUGUUGCGGAGCUCUCAUCCUCCUCACUUCCAUCGUUUCUUCUCAGCCGGUGGAAGAGCUCCAGCGCGAUCUCUCCCCGCCCAGCCUCGGCGUAGCCCAGCAUGAGAUUGACGAAGGAGGCGGCGUCGCGCCGGGGCAUGGCGUCGAAAACCCUGUGAGCGUCGACGAG
rnacentral:lncRNA from 1 species